rnacentral:lncRNA from 1 species
CACAAGCAACCGAAACCAAGUUCGGUCCAAGAUUGUUGAUACAAAAACCAUGUUCGAUCCGAAAUCCAACUUCAUGACAAGCGAAACCUUAGCCAAACCGAAUCACAGGUUCGCCUUCGGUCCUCCCCUCUUUCUUCCAAGUGCUACCAACCGAACUCAAGUUCGUUCCAGGUACAUUCCAAGGCCAUUGAUACAAAAGCGAAAUCAAGCAUCACGAUGCCAACAAGGAGUGAAACCUUUGCCAAGCCGAACCACAGGUUCGCUUUUUGUCUUCCCUUCAUUCGUUCCAAGGCAACAGAAGAACCCAAUCAUAGAUUCGGUUCAAUAUCGUCGAUUAUACCCCAAAGAGAAGCACAGUAAACGAUCGUUCACAGGUAAGGCUUUUGAUGAGAUUAAANNNNNNNNNNNNNNNNNNNNNNNNNNNNNNNNNNNNNNNNNNNNNNNNNNNNNNNNNNNNNNNNNNNNNNNNNNNNNNNNNNNNNNNNNNNNNNNNNNNNUUUUGACUUUUCGUUUAGACCAUUGUGCAUACCAAUUGAUCCCUGUUACGAUUUCAUCCUGAUAAACUCUCAAAUCUGAUUACAUUCGUUCUCAGUGAGUUCACUUGCACCAAAUAUUUUGCAGUACCAAUUUUGGCCUGCAAAAGCGAACAGACACACAAAGACCAUUUCAUCUCAUUUCGUUUGACGCCAUCCAACAUCACUAUUCUGAAUAUGUCUUUCAUUUUCAGUUCCUUUUCCGAUUCAUUCCAGCCAACAUCACAAUUUAGGAAAUCUAAUUUUGAGAUCGGAAAUUGGUUCUGAUUCCGAGACUUCAAUCCAAUUGCGAAAUAAUUCAUAGUUCUGAAUUGACUUUUUAUAUUCUAAGUUCCGAUUACAAUCCAAUUAAGAGACCCGUUCGGAUUUGAAAGACAAGAAAUUAUUCUUUAUGUGAGAACAUCAGUAAACAACGAGACCGUCUUUCCAAUUGCGAGACAAUCAUUGCAAGUCUGCUCUUUGUGCUGACAAAACGAUUACAAGACCAGAUUAAUGAUACCUUCUCAUCAUCUAUAUGCAAAUCAGCAAUCUUCAUUCAGAUUUACUUUUGCAAUUGCAAUCGAUCCUGAUGACUAUACACAACCACAUAUCUACCAGAAUUUGAUUCUUCAACACAUAUAUUGUUUUGUAUAUAUCGAGAUUACCAAAAUCAACAAAUAUGAACCACUUUGGAAUGAUAAUAGAAAAUCAAUAGAUAUCAAUUGCUCAUAUCAGCAAUUCAUAUUUAUGAUGAAAUCGACAAUCACAGUUGAAUGACAAGCCUGAAAAAAUCCACUAAUCGCUAAAUGAUUUUGAAGAAAAGAGAUUCGAUUGAAAAACAAAAAUCAAUUAAAUAAAGAAUCAAUUUGAACAAAGAUCGACAUCAUGAGAAUCGUGAUUCAUAAGGAGCUUGAAUCGAUUACCCAAAAAGUGAUUUAGGCUUCUAAUAUCGAUAAUUGUGAACGGGUGAAGAACGUCAACAGGAAGACUGAACAUGUGUGAUAGAUUAAGAUUAGACGAACAAUGAUAAAUUGAAUUUGGGCCAGAAAUAAACGGAUGAACAGUAAAGAACUGAAUCUUUGGACAAAAUCAUAAGAAAUUGAUCUACGAAGCAAUAUAUUGAUUUUGGACUAAACAAUCGAUCAGAUCUAACAGAAAUAAAAUACGAGAUGGAUUAAAAUAAUACCCAGAUGAACAGUGAUAGAAAACAUAAGUUUUCAUAUCGGUUGCUUGAACAGAAAUAUCAAUUCCAUACCGCCAAAACACCAAUAAUAUUCAAUAUAUGUGUAGAAAAUCACCAAACCAAGAACCGAUACUUCAAAAAUCAAUAGAUCUUCAAAGACCCGCUCUGAUACCACAUGUUGGGAAUAAAAUCUUAAUUCUGAUUUGAUGAACAAGAUGCGGAAAAUAAGAACAAACACAAAUAAAGAAGAUAUGUCGAAUGAUCACUCGAUUUAUUCAAAACAUGAGGAAUAAAUUACACUUUCAGCAUAGACUAAAGAAUCUAACACUACAUAAGAAACUUCACAAUGUGGCGGCUACAUUUUGCCUCACUCUUAACAUCAAUUACGAAUAAUACAUGACUAUUUAUAGGGAAAAGACAAGCCUUGGGCUUUUAACCUACACUUCAUCAAGGGGCCUACUGCCAUUAUCCUUGGAGUGCUUUGAAACCCUACAAGUGAGUGAGAUGGUAAACUUCGAGGACGAAGUUUAGUUUAAGUGGGGGAGAGUUGUAACACCCAAGAUUUUGAAAACCAAGAAAGUAAAAGAAACCCUAAAUUUAGGAGGGACUCGGCGAGUCCAAGGAGGAACUCGGCGAGUCCGAGCGGGAUCCGAGUCGAGGAUUAAGUGACCAACUCGGCAAGUCGGCCAAGGCGACUCGGCGAGUAGGGUCUAUGCAAGGAAAACCCUAAAUUCGGGGCUUGGAGCCUAUUUAAACGUCUCAUUCUUCUUACUAGGGCUCCUUUACUGCCUCUCCAACCAAGAAUACGAACCUUAAACANCUAUGCAAGGAAAACCCUAAAUUCGGGGCUUGGAGCCUAUUUAAAAUUCUCAUUCUUCUUACUAGGGCUCCUUUACUGCCUCUCCAACCAAGAAUACGAACCUUAAACAGCCAUUGUUGCUUAUUCAAGCUCUUUGCCAUUUUGUGGGUGAUUUGAAGGAAGAAGGAGGGAAGGAAUCAUUGAGGCUUCAAGGAACUGCAGCAAAUCCAAAGUUGAAGGACCUUUCAGAGCACUUAAAGGUAAUAAGUCGCUUCCUUCAUCCAGAUCUACUUUGGUUAUGAGUUUUGGGGCUUUUAAGCCAUGUCUAAGUUUAAUCUCGAGCUUGAGGUCCAGAUCUGAGGUUGCUACCUCAGAUCCAUGUUUGUUUUGGUUUAGAAUCCCGUAAAGUAUCAGCCAUUGGGUGGAUUUUUGGAGCCUUUGGUCUCAAACCCUAGUUCAUGGUGUAUUUUGCUUAGAUCUCCAUCUUCACACGUAAAGUUUGCAACUUUAUGUGGGGGAUAGGCUUGGGAAGAGUAGAUCUACGGUUUGGAGUCCCUGCAUGACUCAAAAGUCCCCUGCAUGUUGUGGAACCGAAUGGACUCGGCGANCGAUUGGCCUCGCCGAGUGUGAUGAACAACUCGUCGAGUCGGAUGAAGAUGGGCAUGAACCCGGCGAGUGGGAUGAAGAUUGCUUUGUGCUCGGCGAGUCUGUUCUUAGACUCGGCGAGACAGGUCGCGUAGCCCCAAACCCUUCGAGUUAAGACUCAAGUCAGCGAGUCGAGCAAGGACUCAGUGAGUUGGUCAGGACAGGAUUUAGGAAUCUGUAGACUCGGCGAGUUAGGGGCUGACUCGGCGAGUCAAGUCGCGAUUGGAAGGACUUGAGCAUAAGAACUCGGCGAGUCAGUGAGUGGACUCGGCAAGUAGGGUUGACCUGGAAGGUUGACUUUGACCAGGACUUUGACUUUGGCAAGGGUUGACUUGGUUGACCUUUGAAGGUCAAUUAGACUAAGUAAUGUGUUGGCAUUGAUAGCUCGGGGAGCUAGUGGAGCAGCAGUUCGGAGUCAGUGGUCGGGUAGCGGUCAAAGGGAUUAGCAGCAACAGUUCAGCAGUAUCAGGUGAGUUUCCCUUUGUAUGAAUGGGUCUACGGCCACAAUGCCGGCCCAUGUAGUUAUGAGUAGAAGACCCGGGGGUUAGCCCUAGGCACAGUAUGCUAGUAUGGUAUUCGGACGAGGUCCAAUGAUAGAGGGCGGGUGCCCAAGGAGUGGUUUAUGUGAUAGUUUAUACUUGUUGUCUGUGUGAUACAUGUACGUGCCUGGUAGGAAGGUGAGUGGGGGGCGAGGUCCCGUAUCUCACCAAUAGCAGAGUGUGGAUGGUGUUCCACAUCUCAGUAGCAGCAGUACAGGGGCGAGGCCCAAGCUAGGAAAAGAGUGAGGACGGGCGGGGCCCGUAUCUCACUAUCAGCAGGAGUAUGGACGAGGUUCCAUGACUCAUCAGUAGCAGGACACGGGCGGGGCCCGGAGAUAGGCGAGGCCUUGGAGCAAGAGUUGUUAGUAUAUGUUUAGCUUAUGUGUUGUUAUGUGAUAUAUGUAUGUGCUAGUAUAUGUUAGUGGGCGGGGCCCUGUGACAGGCAAGGCCUAAGUGAAACAGAUCUGUAUCCGAGCGGGGCUUGAAGCCAGGCGGGGCCUGGAGCCGCGGGGCCGUUGUAGCGGGCGAGGCCCGAAGUAGGGGGCGAGGCCUCAGAUAGCGGGCAUGGCCCAGUAUGUGCAGUAUGUGGUCAUGCAUGGUAUGUGGUAGGGUUGGGAACUCACUAAGUUUCGUGCUUANGUUUUCAGUUUUGUUUUCAGGUACUUCCGGUAGCGGAGGGAGGAGCUCGGGGUGAUCGCAUGGCACACACCAUAGAGUAGUCAGCCUGGGAAUGUUUACUCUGAUAAUAAACAUGUGUUUUGAAAACUUAUACUCAAAUUAUGUUUUGGAAUGAUGACUUUGUUUGAAGUAAUGUUUUAUUAAAAGAAAUUUUUGGUCUCGAAUUUUGGGUCGUUACAAGUUGGUAUCAGAGCCUUGGUUUGAGGGAUUCGAGCAUACUCUCGGGUGUGGCUGAACUCAAACUGAGGGGUUGGAUAAAAAGUUUUCAAAAGCGAAAAGACAGUUUUCUAAAAAGAAUUUUGAGAACAAAAAGCAGUUUUAGAAAAACAAAAAGAAUCCAGAAAAAGAAGAAUUUUGAAAAGAGAAAAAGGGGUGUGGUGCAUGCAAUCAACCGAGCUCAAGUAAGUACCCCAAAAUACCCAUACAAGUUUAUAUUAUGAUUAUCAGUUGGUAGAACAGCAUGCUAGAAUAGGACUAAGGAUCUAGGGAUGAUGCCUUAUGUGCCUGUUAUUUGUGCUUUUGAGCUGCAUAGUAGUGCUAAGUAGACAGUAGUAGGAUAGCCUGUUUAGGUUAUACCUGAGAUAUGAGUUUGUGUUUCAUGCUAGUUCAGAUUCUUGCUAUGUGGAUAUGAUUUCUUGAGUAUGUUAUGGUUAGAUUUUCCUUUGUUCGAAUGCUGCUUGCUUUGUGUAUUGUGGGAUUCUGAGUGAUGGGAGUUAGCCAUUAGGUGGAUACGACAAGUCACAUGCGAUCAGGGUUGAAUAAUCUCAGAGUGCUGGAUUUGGUCCUAUUACGCAGCUCUCGUCUGAGUCCAACCGUUGUAGCGACGAGUCUUUUACUUGAAGGAUUAUCUGAGCCUCGUUGCAUGUGAUGGUAUCCAGGUGAUGGCUAAUUGGCAUCAUAAGGAGACCUUCAGUAGGUUUGUGUUGAGUUAGAGGUUUCCCUAGGGUAAGCCUAGGAUGAGAUAGUGCUGGGAGCAGUAGUAGUGGUUAAGGGGUCUGGUGGAGUCAAAGCAAUUCCUGAGGAAAGUACGGAUAGAUAUGGAAGGUAGUAUGGGCCCGUACUACUGAAAGCAAAGGAUCCGUACUCGAUUCGGGAAGGGCCGAGACAAGACCAGGAACCUGGUAGGGUAUGUUUGGUCUCACAUCAGUGAUGAGUAUUCUAAUAGUGGUUGUGGUAUAUUUUCAGCAUGGUGACAUUGCGAGAGAGACCAGCGGGCGGGUCAGGCGCCGGAGAGGGAUCAGGCUCGGGUUUAGGGACCGAGCAGCUCGAGGAGCAGAUGAGAGAGUUGAUAUCAGCUGAGGUUACGCGCAGUAUUCUAGCUCAGACUCCUGUGAUCUUUGGCACGGUCAAGGAGGGUAUACUGGAGAUCUUGGAUGAGAGGCUGGGAGCCUUCCGUACUGAGAUGAUGGCAUUGAUGGGAGCGCGUACUCUGACAUUUCGAGAGUUCAGAGCCUGCGGGGCACCAGAUUAUCAUGGGGCUAGGGACCCCAUUGCUAGCAGCAGAUGGUUGGCUGAUGUUGCCAACGCUUUUCGUACGAGCAAGUGUCCCGAGGGGGACAAGGUUAGACUCGCCUCCUGUCUUCUGAAGGACAGAGCGAGGGAUUGGUGGGAGGAGAUUGGUCAUGCUUUGGGGGAUGAUGCCGCGUUGGACGCGAUGACUUGGAGCGAUUUCUCGGCCAGGUUCAGGGCGGAGUUUUCGCCGAUUAUUGAGGUGCAGCAGCUGGCACGAGAGUUUCAGGAUUUGACGCAGACUACUGAGACUGUGGCGGAGAUCACCGCCAAGUUCAGGGAGAGGGCUCUUCUUGUACCGCAGUAUGUAGCGGAUGAGGAGAUGAAGAAGGCUCGGUACCAUGAGAUGUUGAGGGACGACAUCAGGGAGUUCGUGAGCAGGUCCAGCUGUAAGACGCUGGAAGAUAUGAUUUCUCGGGCUAGGGAAAGGGAAAUUGAUUUGGAGCAGAUCCGGAAGAGGAAGCCGGAUGAGGUUCAGGUAUCAGCGGGUUCGNAUUGAUUUGGAGCAAAUCCGGAAGAGGAAGCCGGAUGAGGUUCAGGUAGCUGUGGGUUCGGGCAAAAGGCCCAAGGGAUCGGAUUCGAGAUCGAGGGAUCAUCAGGACCGCAAUCGGUGCGGAAAGUGUGGCAGGGCGCACGGGGGCGCGUGCAGGAGUGGUAGCCGUGGUGAGUCUGGUUGCUUCAAGUGCGGUCGGACUGGUCAUUUCAGCAGGGAUUGCACUGUUACUGCCGCGCAGGAAUCAGACUUGAUAUGUUUUCAUUGCAACCAGCGGGGCCACAAGAAGGCCCAGUGCCCCAGUUUGUCUUCGGCAGGACGGGUGAUGGCACCCGCCCUUGCAAAUUUGAGGAUCACAGAUGGCCGUCAGGGCCGGGUAGAGGCACAUGCAGCAGGGAGCAGGGCUUUUCAGAUGACGACCUUGGAGACGCUAGCGACGCCGGACGUUGCAGGGAUGCAAUUUCCAUUUCCAGUUCUUUUAUUUGUGCAUGAUUAUGUUGUUAUGAUUCUGCAUCAUCAUCGGUAUGAGUAUUUUAUUUAUGUGCGGUUGAUUAUGGUCGAGUUAUAUGCCAUCUGCAUACCUUGGAUAAUUGUAUGGUAGUUAGGGGAUGUGCUCUAUUGGAGAAGGUUACGUAGGAUGCAGUAGCUGUAGCAUGCUUGGGAGGGACUUAGUAUGUCUCGUUAGAUCAGGAUCGUGUAGUGUCAGAGAUGGAUUGGUUAGAUCCCUAGCUAUGGUAAGCUUGGGUUCCUCAGCAGAUUGAUUAUGGAAUGGUAGCAAGGAUUGGGUUUUCUCUUUGAGCAUUGAGCAACAAGGGGUAAGCAGGAUCGAAGUGGGGGAGAAUCCUCCGAGUAAGCCAGGGUAGGAGCACGCAGACCCAGAAGGAGUGCGCAACCUCCGAGGAGGAAAGGAAGUAGUUCAGCGUUCGAUGGAUUGAGGAUUUCAGGGUUGGGAGUUUGAGAAACUCCCCAUCAGCUAGAGCGUGUGUCGGUAAUGGUUAGUUCGUGGUUGGGAAUUCAGGUUGUUGAUCGCCCGUAUGACUCGAGGGAGUCAGAAUGAGGAUCUUGAGAGCUAAUGGCACAUGGGUGCCUUCGUAUUAGCAGUCAGUGGUGGAAGUGUUGUAAGACUACGGGGCAGCCGUAGCAUUCACUAGCAGUCAACAAUGGAUGGUGAUGUAAGGCUAUGGGUAAGUCGUAGCAUUCCCUAGUCGCUUCGUUAGCGGAGUUGGGGCGAGGCCCUUAUUUUCUCGUGAUCAGAUAGGGAUCGGGAUGGGUAGUCGUUGAGAAUGAUAGGGAGUUGCCUGUAUAGCCCUAGCAAGGUGAGACCUUGGGAGAGGCUGCUCCUGGAUAUAGUUGGGUGAGACCCGUGGGCGAGGCCCGUACGAGAUUAGCAGUGUAGAUAAGACCUGAGAGCAGGGUUGCUCAGUAGUAUGGUUGGGUGGUACCCGUGGGCGAGGCCCAUGGGUUUUUAGCAGCGCAGGUGGGACCUGGUAGGGACCUUAGUGUCAAGUUAGGGGAUCGGGGAUCCCAGGUUUGUAGUGCCUGAGUGGUGGAAUUGUUUGAGCAGUUAUAGGUAGUUGAGGUUUCUUUGGAAGUCGCUGAGAGCGACUUGUGUUGAUGUUGGGACCAGCUACCGGUGGGAGCCGGUAAUCCAGAUAUUGAUAGGUUGGUAGGGACCAGAGUGGUCUCAGUUCAACCGGAAGGCAGAUGAGGAAUGGCAGAAGUAUCCAGUCAGUAGUAGUGCGGGAAGGCGGGUUAUGUUGGAAUUCAGUUAGAUGAGUCGAGGGGUGCUCGACACCAAGUUAUGACAAGAGAGGAGUGUCAGUGGUUACUGGCGGUAAUGACCCGUACUGGAUUUAGCGGGAAUAAGGGAUUGGUGAAGAUAGGAUCUUCACAGUGGCUGAGGAGAUAGUUGUUUUUGGAGCAUCGCCUUGGGAAGGCAAGGGAAUGGCGUGAGGAAAGAAGGGGUGAACCCCUAUAGGUUCAGUGCAGUACUCGGUGAGUACCCGUCGGAUUAUCGGCUAAGUAAGUUGUGUUUCCAGAAUGUUCAGGGUCAGGGUUGACCCGAGAUGGUUAUUUGCAAGGGUUAAUGCUAGUCUGAAUGAUCAGGAGGAAGACCAUCGAAGGUAGGCAGCUGGUGUUGGAACAAUUCGUGGGGUAUUGGAGGCAGAUAGCAGGCGGUGAGAUGGUAAACUUCGAGGACGAAGUUUAGUUUAAGUGGGGGAGAGUUGUAACACCCAGGAUUUUGAAAGCCAAGAAAGUAAAGGAAACCCUAAAUUUAAGAGGGACUCGACGAGUCAAAGGAAGGACUCGGCGAGUCGGAGCGGGAUCCGGGUCGAUAAGAAAGUGACCAACUCGACGAGUCGGCCAAGUGGACUCGGCGAGUCUGGUCUGUGCGAGGAAAACCCUAAAUCCGGGGCUUGGAGCCUAUUUAAGCAUCUUAAUCUUCUUCCUAGGGCUCCUUUACAGCCUCUUGCACCCAGAACGCCGCACCUUAAGCCCCCAUUGUGUUCAUUCAAGCUUCUAGCCAUUUUUGAGUGGGUUUAAGGAAGAAGAAGGAGUGGGAAUCCUUGAAGCAUCAGGGAGUGGCUUUGGAUCUGAAGUUUGGGAAGCAUUUCAGAGCAUUGGAAGGUAUCAAUUCGUUUCUCUCCUCCAUAUUUUUCCUUGGUUAUGAGUUUUGGGGCUUUUAAGCCAUGUUUAAGACCAAUCUUGAGCUUGAGGUCCAGAUCUGAGGUUGCUACCUCAGAUCCAUGUUUAUUUUGGUUUGUAAUCCCAGAAAGUAUCAGCCAUUGGGUGGAAAUUGGAGUCUCUUGGUCCUAAACCCUAGCUAUGGGUGUAUUUUGCCUAGAUCUCCCUCUCUACACGUAAAGUUUGCAACUUUACGUGGGAAAUAGGCUUGGGGAGGGUAGAUCUACAGUUUGGAGCUCAUGCAUGACUCGGAAGUCCUCUGCAUGUAAGUGGAUCUUAGUGGACUCGACGAGUCCUUCGAGUGGACUCGGCGAGUAGCUUGAAGAUGAGGAGGAACUCGACGAGUGGGAUGAACAGCUCGUCGAGUCGGAUGAAGAUGGGCAUGAACUCGGCGAGUUGGAUGAACAACUCGUCGAGUUGGAUGAAGUUUGUCGUGUGCUCGGCGAGUCUGUUCUUAGACUCGGCGAGUCAGGUCGCGUAGUCCCAAACCCUUCGAGUUAAGACUCGAGUCAGCGAGUCGAGCAAGGACUCAGUGAGUUGGUCAGGACAGGAUUCAAGAAUCUGUAGACUCGACAAGUCAGGGGCUGACUCGGCGAGUCAAGUUGCGAUUGGAAGGACUUGAGCAUAAGAACUCGGCGAGUCAGUGAGUGGACUCGGCGAGUAGGGUUGACCUGGAAGGUUGACUUUGACCAGAGUUGACUUGGUUAACCUUUGGAGGUCAGUUAGACUAAGUGUUGGGUUGUUGUUGGUAGCUCGGGGAGCUAGCGGAGCAGCAGUUCGGAGUUAGCGGUCAGGUAGCGGUCAAAGGGGUUAGCAGCGGCAGUUCGGCAAUAUCAGGUGAGUUUCCCUUUGUAUGAAUGGGUCUACGGCCACAAUGCCGGCCCAUGUAGUUAUGAGUAGAAGACCCGGGGGUUAGCCCUAGGCACAGUAUGCUAGUAUGAUAUUUGGACGAGGUCCAAUGACAGAGGGCGGGUGCCCAAGGAGCGGUUUAUGUGAUAGUUUAUACUUGUUGUCUGUGUGAUACUUGUAUGUGCCUGGUAGGGAGGUGAGAGAGGGCGAGGUCCCGUAUCUCACCAAUAGCAGAGUGUGGAUGGUGUUCCACAUCUCAGUAGCAGCAGAGCAGGGGCGAGGCCCAAGUUAGGAAAGGAGUGAGGGUGGGCUGGGCCCGAACCUCACUAUCAGCAGGAGUAUGGACGAGGUUCCAUGACUCAUCAGUAGCAGGACACGGGCGGGGCCCGGAGAUAGGCGAGGCCUUAGAGCAAGAGUUGUUAGUAUAUGUUUAGCUUAUGUGUUGUUAUGUGAUAUAUGUAUGUGCUAGUAUAUAUUAGUGGGCAGGGCCCUGUGACAGGCGAGGCCUAAGUGAAACAGAUCUGUAUCCGAGCGGGGCUCGAAGCCAGACGGGGCCUGGAGUGGCGGGGCCGUUGUAGCGGGCGAGGCCCGAAGUAGGGGGCGAGGCCUUGGAUAGCGGGCGUGGCCCAAUAUGUGCAGUAUGUGGUUAUGCAUGGUAUGUGGUAGGGUGGGGAACUCACUAAGCUUCGUGCUUACAGUUUUCAGUUUUGUUUUCAGGUACUUCCGGUAGCGGAGGGAGGAGCUCGGGGUGAUCGCAUGGCACCCACCAUAGAGUAGUCAACCUGGGAAUGUUUACUCUGAUAAUAAACAUGUGUUUUGAAAACUUAUACUCAAAUUAUGUUUUGGAAUGAUGACUUUGUUUAAAGUAAUGUUUUAUUAAAAGAAAUUUUUGGUCUCGAAUUUUGGGUCGUUACACUGGGCAUACACGUCGUACAAAAGGAGUACGUGGAAAGCAUGCAAACCCUAAUUUUUAGGGUUUUGGCUCAUAUUUAAGCCUCCUUAAGGCCUUACAUUUCAUUCUUACCCAACCUCCUUCUUUGACAUCGAGCCCCAAGAAAUCCUAAGAGCAAAAGAGAAAUUUUGGAGCCUUUAAGAGAGUUUAGAAGUGGUUUUGAAGAAAGAAGAAUGUGGUGAGAAGAUCUUGGAGUUGAGAGCACCUUGGAUCUAUGAUUUCUUCCUUGUUUACAACCUUUAGAAGUUAUAAAGCUUGCAACUUUACCACCCAUCUUGUAGAUCUAGGAUUUUGCUUUUUAAGUCACUUUUUGGUCCCAAAAUGGUAAUUUGAAUGGUAUUUGAGAAAUUGGUCUUUUGGAUGAAUAUGUGUCGGUUAGAGCGGAGAUUAGGAGUCGGGACCUCAUCAGCUAUUGUUCAGACUAUGAGAUGAGUUUUUCUCACUGUAGAUAUGGGUCGAAGGCACCAAGACUGACCCAUUGGAUUGAUAUACUGUUAUACAUUGAUAUGUUGAGUAUGGAAUAGAUCUGCAUGAUUACAUGCUAGUUGUCAAUAUGCUAAGUUUGGUAGAUCUUUAGGACUACCUGUGAUUCUAUCUACACGAUUAUCUGUAUGUUAAAUACGUUUGUUAUCUGUUAUAUAUCGACAUAUUGUGGUGGGUUGAGGUUAUAUUGUUGUGUGGUGUAGCCAACAAACUUGAGAGCAAUCUAGAUAUGAGCCGAGAGACAGUUGGCAUGUCAUACUCAUACUGAGGGCUCGGGAGCAUUCUAGAUACGAGCUGAGGGUCGGUUGGCAUGCCAGACUCGUAUUGAGGGCUUGAGGGUAUUACAACCCGCUGACUGAGUGGACCCAAUGUAUAUUGGCAUUCCAACCUAGGGUAUUCCAUCAUGAGGAUGACUAGACCCGGAGGUUGAUUGGGCCUGGGGUAGUCCAACCCGAUGGUUGAUUGGACCUGACAUGUUAUUGUAUAUGUUAUAUGUUUAUGUGUUGGUACUAUAGGGGGAACUCAAUAAGCUUUGGCUUAUGGUUUUUAGUUAUUGUUUCAGGUACUUCUGAUCAAUGCGGGAGAAGGCAUGACCGUUCACAUCCUCUGUUUUAUGUACUUUUGAUUUAUGGGAUACACUCAUAUGGAAAAAUACUUUGGAAACAAUGAUUUUGUAAACAUUCUAUGAUUCACGGUUGUUUUAGAAAGUUUAAAUUUCUUGUGAUUUUUAUGGAUGUUUCAAGUUGGUAUCAGAGCCGUGGUUUGAGUGAAUUGUAGGAACACUCGUGUGAAUCUAGUCUCAAACUAAGGAAAAGGUUUUAAAAAUUAUUUUCAAAUUGUUUUCAAAAUAAUCAAAAGAGGAUGCGAUGUGUACGAUCAGUCGGAGCCAGUAAGUAGACCCCAAAUUACCACACUGUUAUUUGAUAUUGUGAUAUGUUAGAACAACAUACUAGUGAUAGGCCAAGGAUCUUCAAGAAUUGCAUGAUAGAAUCGCUUGAUUAUAUGAUGCCUAGUAGCCUAGGGUUUCUUUCUUAUAUGGAAUUGACAUCAUAACUGUAGUUGCUUAUUAUAUGUAUCAUAGUUAUACAUAACUAAGAUUCUAUAGCUUGAGAAUGCUUAGUUUAGCCUUAUUUUAUGUUCUUGUUUGAUGAAGGGCUUAGGGUAUAAUCAAGUAUUCGAUUGUCUAUAGGGUCCAGUGUUAUGUAUGAUUAGCAUACACAAGUGUUGCAGGGUUGGUAGAAGUUUCAUGGAUGAGUUGUGUGAGGUCAGCCCACCAGUUGCGUAAUGUUUAGCCUUCCUCUAGGAAGCGAGGAUAGAGUGUAUGUGUAUUAUAGUGAGUAUUGUUAGAGUUGUUGUGAUGAUCCUCUGAGACAAAUACGGGUAGGUGUGGAAGGUAGUAUGGGCAAUACUAUUGGAAUCACAGGAACCGUAUGUGUAGCAGGGAAGUCACAACCCUUAGGGUUUUUUUUGGAAUUGGUCCCCAUUGUGUUAUAUGGAUUUUAUCUGAUAUCUCCCUGGUUUAUUUUCAAUAUGGAGAUUACGAGACGAUUUGAGGCAGGAUUCGGAUCAGGAUCAAGAUCACGUGUCCAGAACCGGGUUAAGGAGACCAUUCAGGAGGAGGUUGUUUCCCUCUUUCAGGGAUAGUUACCAGAGGUACACUGCACUUUCUGAUAAUGUUGCUGCUACAGCCACCGCAACCAUUGCUGCUGUCGGGAUUGGUGCUGGGAGAGCCUUCCAGUACCGGGACUUUGACAAUAUGAAGCUCUUGAUAUUUGAUGGAGUUCAGGAUCUGAUCAUAUCCAUGAGGUGGAUUUCUGACAUUGAGGGAUGUUUCUUCACUUGCUCUUGCCCAGCUGACCAAAAGGUCAAGUGCGCUAUGAACCUUCUUCAGUCCAAAGCUAAGGAUUAGUGGAGACUUGUUACUAUCUCGUAUUCUCCUAAGCAGAGGGCUGUCAUGACUUGGGAGUUGUUCUCUAAGAUGUUCUGUUCUAGAUAUGUUCUACUAGUGGAACAGGUAAUAUUGGUCCAAGAGUACUUGGACUUGAGACAGGGGACUGAUCGGUGACGGAGAUCACCAAGAUGUUUACGGAGAGAGCCAUGUUUUGCCCUGAGUUUGUUGCUUUUGAGCAAGCUCAGAUGACCCGGUACUUGAGCAUGCUCAAGACGGACAUCCGACACUUUGUGUCCACACAACAGUAUGGUUCAUUGGUAGAUGUGAAGGAGGUCGCUAGCGGGUGGGAGAUCGAGAUGGAGCUCCAGAAGAGGGAGCAGAGGCAGGCCCCAGUGCAGUCUCAGCCAGCGUUGAAGCAGUUCAAGGUCUCUGAUGUUAGAUCUAGGAUUCAGAGGGGUCGCACUUGUAGAAAGUGUGGCAAGGUUCAUGAUGGUGCUUGUAGAUCUUCUUCUGGGUGCCACAAUUGUGGCAUGCAUGGCCACGUUGUGAGGGAUUGCCGUCAGCAGGCUCCAGUACCCAACACUAGAAUUUGCUAUCACUGUGACUAGGUUGGCCAUGUGAAGGCCAACUAUCCCUUGUUUCCUGGUAGUCCGGCGCAGGCUCCAGCGCCGACUACUCGUAGGAUCGCGGAUUGGAGCCAGGGCAGGGUGGAGCCCCCAAGGGCUUGAUGUCAUGCUUUCCAGCUCACGGUGGAGGAGGCCAGGGCGGAACCAAACGUCGUGACCGAUAUGUUUCUAUUUAUUAUCUUGUUGAUUAUAUUUUAUGGUAUGCUCAUGUAUAUGAUCCUGAUAGGUAUGUCCUUAGUGAACUCUUUGUUGGAUUAAUGUCUAAGUCCAUAACUAUAAUUGGUAAGACUUGACCCGACCCGGCAUGGUCCAUUUGGGUUGCAUGGCAUCAUGCACUUGGAUAGACUAAAUGAGAGAAAUAAGACACUUAUGGUUAUUAAUAUAUUAUAAGUUCUAGUAUAUUAAUAAUAAGAAUAAUGAGAUUAUUUAAUUAGUAUUGAUCAAGAAUUAAGCUAGGAUUAAUUAAGUGAUCAAAAGAAGACUAAUUAAAUAUAUGGGUUGAUUGUGUAAAUCAUCCAUACUUGUAUAGUGGGCUAAUGCUCCAUGGAUAAUCAAGUUGGGCUAAAACCCAUAGGAUGGUCCAUGGAUGCUCCAUGGUGUAUUUGUACCCAUGGAUCCAAGGAAAUGGAAAGCCAUGACAAUUAAGAGUUUACCCUAAUUGUAACACUAUAUAAAGAUCACAUUCUUGGGAAAAAUCGGCCACUAGAGAGAGUAAGAAAGGGCUAGCCGAUUUUCAUGAAGUGUAGAAUUCUCUCAAGUUAAUCCAUGUGUAUUUGGUGUUGUGUGAACCAUUUGAGGUGUCACACUUGGGGCACUUGGCACUCAAGCUUCAUGAAGACUUUCUACACCAAAGAGGUAUGUAUUCUAUCUUGCUAUAGUUAUUGUUUUGUAUGCUAGAUUAGGAUAAUACCUUGGAAGUUCUUAUUUGCAUGUAUAAUAGAGAAAACAUAGAUCCAAGGUAUUUAGGGUUGCAUGUACACUUAGGAGUGUUAGAAUGCUCAAAACCCAACAGUGGUAUCAGAGCCUAGGCUUGUUUUCUUGUUAUACCUGCAAUAGAAGCUGAAAAAACGAAUUUGUUGCUGUCUGAUCAUCAGACUCGGCGAGUCCAUCAGGAGACUCGGCGAGUCCAUGACUAAAAUGUGGUCAAUUCGAUCCAACUCGCCGAGUUGGUUCAUGCACUCGACGAGUUGGACCCCCAGACAGCAUAUUUUCGAGUUUUUUGGCUAGAAAUGGACUAGGAACAUUACCCUAAGUUGUUUUUGAACUUAUAAACUUGUUUUUGAUGUGGUAAUGUUCAUGCUAAUCCAUUUUCAAAGAUAAUUGUCAAUAGAUUCAUGUUUUGUAUUAGUUUAAGGUUUAGACUAAUUACAUGAAAAAGUUUGAUUUGAAUUAUCUUGUUCUUAUGAGUUGCUUAGAUUAAUAGAAAUGUUAAUUGAAAUAGUUGUUUUCAAUCCAUUUUAAUCUAAGAGUUGAGUAUAAAAUGUGUUUGUGUAACUUGUCCUCAAGUUACAUGAAGAGUCACAUUAAAGACUCAUAAAACUCAUAAAAGUUGGCAAUGGUUACAAAAUGAAGAGUCUUGUGUCAUUGAAUAAUUUUUUUUGACUCCAUAACUUGUCCUCAAGUUAUGGAAGUUCAAGAGUCACUUCAUUAAAGAAAAAUAUGUAACCAUAAUUAAAUCCAUAAGUUAUAAAAUAAAGAAAAAGUUAGUUCUUUUAUUAGUUUAAAGUCUUCCAUAACUUGUCCUCAAGUUAUGGAACUUGAAGAGUUUUUGGAUUAAAACUACUUUAAACACAUAAGUUAUGGAAUUAAUUAGUUUUGAAUAGUUUCAAAACUUGCCCUCAAGUUUUGGAAUUUGAAAAGUUUUCACUUAUGAAUACUUUAAUUCCAAGUUAGCCCUUAGAAUUUUAAAAGUUAAAAUUCAACCCUUAUACUUUAUAAUAUUAUAAGUUAAUAAUAUAUAUAUGUAUAAGAGUAAAGUCAGUCUUACCGCUAGUACGCCUCAUUCACGAAGCCGGUCUAUAAGGUGGGUAUAAGGUUGUUGCCUAUAAAAUGGCAACUUAAUGGGUGUCCACUCUCACCCACCGCUUGCUUGACUGGUGGAGGGUCGUUAGCCGAACGGGUUUGACAGGACUAGAAUUCUCCCUUCAUUAAAAGUAUUAAUGAUAAUACUAAGUAACUAAACUCUUAAUAAUACCCAAUCUUAGUUACUUAGGAAAAAUGUGAAUAAGGUGCUAAUCCAUGAAAUUACACUUUACACUUUGUCUAAGUCGUUAGUGGAGCGUGUGUGGUUAACCGGCACACUAACUUGGACUUAACAAGGUAGGUAAAGGGUGACUUAAUAUUUAUCAUAGUAUCGAUGGAGCGUGUGUGGUUAACCGGCACAUCGAUUGAGGGGUAAUUUAUUAAGGGUACCAAGUGAUUUGCAUGGUUACUUCACACCUUGUUUUGUGAUCCUCGGCAUCCCAGUCACAAAACCUGAAGGGCACACUCGAGAUUGAAACAUGCCUUUGAAAAGUUCAAUGAAUCUCAAAGAUCUAGGAGUUUCAAAACCAAUUAAAACCUAAUAAUACAUUUCGUUUAUCUUGGUGGAAAUUGGUGAAUCGUCAUUCACCUACCUUCAAAUAUUUUAUAGCUUGGAUUACGGCAUACCUCUUCUAAGUUAUAAAAUAGUUUGUUGGGUCCUAGCCUUAAUAUUUCAUAUUGGGUGUCAUAUUAAGGACUUUAAAUCAACUAUCUUGAAUAUCUCCCAAAAGAUGUCUGGUUUAGACACCUAUGAUCUUCCCAAAUCUCUUGAAACAAGGUUUCCUAAUGAAGAUGAUGUCCCAUGGAUAUCAUACUUCUUCACCUCUUCAAAUUAUUCUCCCUAACCCACAAGUUCUUGAAAAGUUUAAGGUCACUCAGGCCCUAUUGGCAAGGCAAGGUCUAGGUGUGGUCACAUCUUGGAGAUGUAGUCACAUAUUGACAAGCCGGGAGAGUUGGGUGUCAAAGUCUUGAGAAAGUUGGUGGUUCAACCACUUUCUAAGUCACAUAGUGAGUUCCUUUGGGACACCUAUGAAACAGACUAUGACAAGACCCUUAAUGAUCUUAUCUAUUUGCUAAGAUCAACUUCCUAAAACUUUAUGGACAUUGACAAUGAUGACAUUGGAUAUCCAGUAAAGCAUUCUCUUCCCAAUGGAAAGGGAUCGGCCAUAGUCAACUCGGUUGACCAAAUGGUAAAGAGAAAAGCUAAGUCUGUGAUAGUCUCGUGUACCAUUAUCAAAGGGUCCAUAUGUUUAUAUUGCCAAAGGAAGGGGCAUUGGUUGCGAAGCUGCCAAAUUUACCUAAGGAUGUUAAAGUCAAUAAGUUUGACUCUACUUCAGGUAAAGUCCACUAUCUAACUCUGUUAAGUUUCUAUUCUGAGAUUCUUGAUACAUGAUGUGACUGGGUCACAUGGUGAUGUUUUAAGAAUCAAAGAAAAGUGAAGAAACUUAAAGAAAGAAUAUGCUGAAUCUGAUGGCGUAGAUGGAUUUCUAUCGCAUAGUUUGAAGAUCGGAUUCUUGAGCUACUUCUUAGGAGUUAUGAGAUAUUGCUUAGGAAUAGAUAACAACAAGUUUUCAUAUGGAUUGUAAGGAUAAGUUUUUCCGCAAAGUUUUAAAAUAAAAGAAAAUUUUUUUUUUUUUUUAUUUUAAAAUAUCCUUACAAUGGCAUUUGAGGAAAAAUUGUUGCUUAUAUGAUUCCAUUAAGAGCAAGAGUGGAAAUAUGAAAUUGAUUCUUUCAUUUGUGGUAAUGUCUAAAUUUACCAAAUAAGGAAAGAUUCUCAUCACCCAAGUUUCAAUUGGACCGGAACUUGGAAUCAUGCAAGUUGUAUAGCAUGAUGAAUGAGAACUUUCAAGUUUUGGAAAAUUAAGACUAAUUACUUGUUCACAUGGAUGUGUGAGUCAAGUAAAGGACUUAGGGAUCGAGUACACAUUCUUGUGCACUGAUUAAGUCCACCACUAAAGAUCGAUAAGAAGAAUCAAAUAAGGCAGAAGGAUAAAAGUUUCUCAAAUCUGAAAAGAUGGGAGAGUACUUUAGUAUCAGUUUUGUGAUCAUCUUAAUGAUUAAGAAACCAUAUCAAAAUUAGUUCUCUAAGGAAAUCUUAGUGCAUUCUUAUGACUAAGAAGAGGAACUUGAAUUGUUGAAAUGGUUAAAUCAAGAAGAUGAGUCAUACUUCGUUCCAAUACAAGUCUUAGAGUCAUACUCCAAGAUUGUCAUUUGAGUGACAUGUCUUAAAGAAGGUUUAAAACACUUGUCAAAUGUAAGAGUAAAAGUUUUCUACUCUUGUACAUUUGAAAUUGGUAAGUUGUGAUGUUUUGGAUAAAACAAAGACCAACUUAGGCCAAUUGGGUAAAGUGUUUUUCUUGAUUAGAAUCCGCACUAUCUCUUGGAUGUUUGACAAGGGAGUCUUAUAUGUCAAGAGGACAGUGGGAGUCUUAAAGGUCUUGAAAGUCUCAAGAAAUAAUCAAGAAUAAAACCUAAAGUUCUUCACUAGCACACGACUUGAGGUUUAUAACCUAUCGUGUUGACAUAUCUGUGCCCAUUCCAGUUAAAGUUGGCUUUGCAUAUGAGUUCUUAGAGUUCUCAGUUUGUUGCAUAACAACUUGGAAGCAAUGGCAGGCCCUUGAGCUGCCAGGUGGCAAGAAGUUAAGAUUGAGUUCAAUCCAUAUGGUUUUGGAUUUGUCAUUAUCUUUGUCUUGUGAUUAUGGUUUGACAAAUUCAUAUGGGUAGGAACUCAUACACCAUAUAAAUCUAAGUGUCAUAAGGUUUCUCUCCGAUUCAUGAAAAUGAUGGUGAGGAAACGCUUUCACUAAGUAGAUUUUACGAAGAUAUCAAUUGUGUUAUUUGCAUUUUCAAAAGUCGUUAGUGGAGCGCGUGUGGUUAACCGGCACACUAACAUGGACUUGUGAGAAAUGGCAAAUGCCUAAGCAAUUGAGACCAUGAUUACGGUAUCCCUUUUCAUGGUUCUUGAAAUUGCUUAGACACACAGGUGAGCUAUCUACGGAAAGGGUGUAUGAAUCUAAAUUUCAGACUGUCCAGCUGAUUUCUGAGUACAUGUCAAAGCUAGUGGGAGCAUAAGUGUUAUGCUAAUAAUCAUCAUGUUAGUGGGAGCAUGAUAAUUAUGAUAAGUAUUGCAAGUUAGCAAUGUUAAUUAUAGAAAACAAAAGUUUCAAUUGGGAAAAAGUUGUUUUGCUAUAAUUAAGGGAGAGGAAAUUAUGCUUCAUCUCAAAUCUAUAAGCUUAGAUCGUGAGGUUUUAAUCAUUUAGUCAAGGAUAUAUAUGAAUUUCAUGUUGGAAUGGCUCAACAUAAGGAAAUUCUGUAUAUGGGUCCAUUAUUUGCGUUCUAAAAUUCGAUUAUGAUUACGGCAUCCCUUUUCAUAAUCUGAAUUAUGAGAACUUGGCAAAUUGAAAUGGAAAUAUUAUAGCAAAAGACUGGUUUAGUCUUUAUGUAAGACAUCAUGAAUCGUGUCCCAUAUGCUUCGGAUAUAGGAUCGAUUACAUGUGCUAUAUUCAUCCGUUCUAAAAUUUUCCAAAUGCCUGGGGCAUUAAGAAGGGAAAAGGUUUAGAACUGGAUAUGACUAAAAGGAUUAAACAAUUGUCGAGGACAAUCUAAGGUUUACCAAAGAUUGGUUACUCAAGGACAAUUGGAAGUAUAGUGAUAAUUCUGGAAGGACCAUAUUGACAUAAUCUGUAAGGAGGCAACUCUUGUUCAGAAGUGAUAGUCAAAAUGGAAUCUGGAAAUGUUUCAAAGUUAGAAUUUUCAAUCUGUGUAAGAUUAAGGAAACUUAAUGCAAGAAGGAUAUUUCCAAGGAGUUGAUCUCCUUUGGAAUACUCUGUAAUGAUUGUUGCCAAGUCUUUGUGACUUUGUGCAUAAUCAUUACAAGAGGAUCAAUGCAUAUAAGUUUAGAAUCUAACAGAUUUCAGUAAAUGGCAUGAAUUUGGAAUUCUUGCAUUUGCAGUAAGGAUUUGGGAGUGUGAAAAGAGAAUCAUUGAAGUUAUGUUCAAUUGAUCUAGUUCACAAAGUAAAGAUCAUAGACAAACAUAGUAUGCAUACUUGGUGUGUGGCAUGACUAGUGUUUAAGAAAACAUAGUGUACAUGCUUGGAGCAUGGGACAACUAUUGUUUUAAAUUCAAGAAUAAAGUUGAUAGCUGAAACAGUAUACAAUGAAUAAUGUGUAAUCAUAUGGUGAUAAAUAAAAGGUGUUUUAUUUAUGUUCAAAGGGUUGAUACCAUAUUGGAUUCAAUUAUUAUUGUGUUUCAUUUUGCAUGUUUUGACUUCCCGAAUAAACUGGGUUAUUCUUCCGGAAUGACUAAGUUAUUCAAACCAUCCACAGUCGGUCAUAUGUUGGAAGUAGAUAUGAAUUAAGACUGUCAUGGGUUGGCUUGUAGAGGUCUAAGGUGUUGGACAAAGGGCUACAACACUCAUGAGUGCUCAUAAGUUCUGAGUAUUGGAUUCAACCCGCGCUCAUUGGAAUCACUUCAUGGAUUUUAUCACGAGUGAUCAUGAGACGAUAAUAUCUUAUAUUCUUCAAACCUAGAGAUAUGAGUUGUUACUAUGAGUUGAUAGUACAUUGAUUGCACGAAAACGCAUUUGGUAACUCGGUGCUAUAAAACGUGCCUUUGUGUAUGAUUCAACAAGUAGUAGAACAAGCCAUAUGAGUCGAAGUUUAUCCAUUCCUUUUACCUUCGGGAUAAAAGCGAUAUCUGUGGGCCCCUCGAUGAUUUGAUGAUGACAAAUGGAAGUGCUCGGCCGGGCCAGGACUGAUUUGAUUUGUUCAAUUAGUCAGUCGUCAUAAAUCGGAAAUCGGGAAACAACAAAUGGACAGAGAGAAUGAUUAUAAUCCAUGUCUCAGUCCAUAUGAUAUCUAGAAUGGAGGAAUAUAUGAUCCCUUAUCUAAUGGACAAGUCAUUGACAAAGGUCAGAGUUCAUCUACAAGGUCAGAGUUCGACAGAAGCUUUUGAGAGCUACGAUUGCCAGUUGGUUCCUGAAGUCAUACGCAAUAAUAGUUUUAGACUUAUCCAAGUGGGAGACUGUUGGAUUAAUGUCUAAGUCCAUAACUAUAAUUGGUAAGACUUGACCCGACCCGGCAUGGUCCAUUUGGGUUGCAUGGCAUCAUGCACUUGGAUAGACUAAAUGAGAGAAAUAAGACACUUAUGGUUAUUAAUAUAUUAUAAGUUCUAGUAUAUUAAUAAUAAGAAUAAUAAGAUUAUUUAAUUAGUAUUGAUCAAGAAUUAAUCUAGGAUUAAUUAAGUGAUCAAAAGAAGACUAAUUAAAUAUAUGGGUUGAUUGUGUAAAUCAUCCAUACUUGUAUAGUGGGCUAAUGCUCCAUGGAUAAUCAAGUUGGGCUAAAACCCAUAGGAUGGUCCAUGGAUGCUCCAUGGUGUAUUUGUACCCAUGGAUCCAAGGAAAUGGAAAGCCAUGACAAUUAAGAGUUUACCCUAAUUGUAACACUAUAUAAAGAUCACAUUCUUGGGAAAAAUCGGCGACUAGAGAGAGUAAGAAAGGGCUAGCCGAUUUUCAUGAAGUGUAGAAUUCUCUCAAGUUAAUCCAUGUGUAUUUGGUGUUGUGUGAACCAUUUGAGGUGUCACACUUGGGGCACUUGGCACUCAAGCUUCAUGAAGACUUUCUACACCAAAGAGGUAUGUAUUCUAUCUUGCUAUAGUUAUUGUUUUGUAUGCUAGAUUAGGAUAAUACCUUGGAAGUUCUUAUUUGCAUGUAUAAUAGAGAAAACAUAGAUCCAAGGUAUUUAGGGUUGCAUGUACACUUAGGAGUGUUAGAAUGCUCAUAACCCAACACUCUUUGCCUGCUCUUUUUUAUUUGACUUAGGCAUGAGUCGGUCCUUUGUGUCUUGAUCAUUUAGUAAGGAGUUUGAUAUGCCUAUUGGGGAGUUAGAGUGUCUGUUGCGGGUUUAUAUCGCCAAAGAACACGAGGUUUUUGCAUCCAAUGUGUAUCAGGGUUGUGUAUUGAAGAUCUUCAGGGUGCCUUAUCCAAUUGAUAUGUUCCCUAUCCCCAUGGGGGAUGUAUGCGUGGCAGUGGGUAUUGACUGGUUGAGCAGGUUUGGUGUCAUAAUCUAUUACGAGCGCCAACGAGUAGUAGUUUGAACCCCAAGUUGGGGAGAACUGGUUAUCCAUGGAGAGGGCACCAGGUUUGGUUUGGGGUCUUAUUUGGUAGCUAGGGUUCGACAGUAUAUUCAACAUGAGUGUGCAGGUUAUCUAGCUUAUGUGGUUGAUAGUCGGGUUAGGGACCAAACUUCAUUUUUAGAGGUACUAGUUGUUAGGGAGUUUGCCGAUUUUCCAGGAGGAGUUACCCGAUGUGCUUCCCGACAGGCAGGUUAAGUUUAGGGUUGAUCUAGUGCCAGGUGUGGCUCCGAUUGCCAAGGGUUCGUACCGCUUGGCACCGCCCGAGAUGUAGGAGUUGUCCUCUCAGUUUCAUGAGCUGUUAGGAAAGCAGUUCAUCAGACCUAAUAGUUCUCUGUGUGGAGCGUCGAUAUUGUUCAUCAAGAAAAAGGAGGGUUCACAGCGGAUGUGCAUUAACAGGAUUUGAGCAAAUUAACAGUGAAGAACCGUUAUCCCUUUCCGUAGAUUGAUGACCUCUUUGAGUAGUUUUAGUGUGCAUCUUGGUUCUCCAAGACGAUUUGAGGUCCGAGUAUCAUCAGGUGAGAGUCAGAGAGGAGGACAUGGAGAAGAUCGCAUUCCGAACUUGUUAUGGUCAUUACUAAAGGGUUUUGAGCAUUCUAACACUACCAAGGUGUACAUGCAACCCUAGAAACCUUGUAUCUAUGUUUUACUAAGAUACAUGCAAAUUUGAUUUUUCCAAGGUUCUUAACCUAACUAGCAUGGCAUGGGGAACUUGAAACAUAAAAGCUAGUAGAAGAACUUACCUUUCUAGUUUCUUGGAUUCCUUAAUAACUUUGUGAGCCUAGCACCCUAAAUGUGAUGCCUCAAGUGUUUCACACAACACCACAACUCUUGGAAUAACUUUGAGAGAAGUACACACACUCAAAAUCGGCUAGCCAUCUUGUUCUUAACUUAGUGUCGAUUUUGGUAGCCCUUGGGGUCCUUUUAUAGUUGUGUCACAAGUAGGGUUACACCAUGUAAACCGCAAUUGACAUGACUUUUCAUUUCCUCCAUGAUCCAUGGGUUUUAACCUCCAUGGACCAUCCAUGGAGCACCCUAUGGGUUUUAGCCCAAUUCAAUAAACCAUGGAUCAUUAGCCCACUAUAUAAGAAUGGAUUAUUUACACAAUCAACCCUAUAUAUUUAAUUAGUCUCUUUUGAUCACCAAAUUAAUUCCAUAUUAAUUCUUGAUCAAUACUAAUUAAAUAAUAUUAUUAAUAUAUUAUAACUUAUAAUAUAUUAAUGAACCAUAAGUAUCGUUUUCUCAUUUUGUCUAUCCAAGUGUCAGGAUGCCAUGCAACCCAAAUGGACCAUGCCAAUCGGGUCAAGUACAUACCAGAAUUAGUUAUGGACUUAGACACCUUAUCCAAUAGUCUCCCACUUGGAUAAGUCUAAUAACUAUAACUGCAAGUAUGACUUCAGGAACCGAUCAGCAAUCGUAGCUCUUUCAAAGUCUCGCGAAACUAAGAUGACGUGUCAUUUGAGAUAAGUGAUCAUAUAAUCCUCUGGUCUCAAGAUAUCAGCCGGUCAAAUACAUGGAACAGUGUCAUACUUAUUGUCCAACAGUUUGUUUCCCGAUUUCUGAUAUGUUUGACAUAAAACUUAAUCAAACACAUCAAUUUAGUUCUGACCGGGCCCAGUACAUAGGUCAAAACAAAAUCAUCGAGGGGCCUAGAUGUCGCUUCUAAUCCUCCAAGGACUAGAAGAAGCAGAUAAAAUUCGACUCAUAUGCUUGUUCUACUACUUGUUGAAUCAUACACAAAGGUAAGUUUUAUAACAUCGAGUUACCAAUGCGUUUUCGUAAAAUCAAUGUAUAACCAAAUCAUAGUCAACAACUCAUAUCUCUAGGUUUUAAGACUUAUAUGAUAUUACCAUCUCACGAUCACUCGAGAUAAAUUCCAUGAAGUGAUACAAGUGAGCGUGGGUUGAAUCCAAUACUCGAAUCACUAUUCCAGGAGUACUCAUGAACACUGCAACACCUUUGUCCCAGACAAACUGCAGACCCUUCAUGACAGUCUUGCCUCAUUACCUACUUCCAAAGUAUGAUUGAUUGUGGAUGGUUUGAAUAAUAUGAUAUACCAUAACAUAAUUAUUCUGGAAGUCAAAACAUGCAAAAAUGAAAUGAUAGUAAACGAUUGACAGAAGAUAGCAACACUUUACUUAUAAAUAAACAAAUUUUAUUUAUCAUCAAAUGUCAAUUACACUUUACAAAUUUCAAAAGGCUAUCUAAUUUCUAAAACUAAUAUCAUCCUUUAGCCCAAUGCGCCUCGCAUGUUGAAGAUGCUUAACCCUACCCAGUCCCUUCGUGAGGGGAUCUUUUGGGUUCUCAUCCAAUGAUACCCUCUUUGCCACGAGGAGUCCUUCUUGUAUUCGAUGUCUAAUGAAACGGUAUUUUCUGUUGAUGUGUCUGGAUCUCCCGUGAUCCCUUGGUUCCUUGGCUAAGGAAACUGCACUUUCACUAUCACAGAAAAUCUCCAUAGGCUCCUUUAUAGCUGGUACUACUCCAAGGUCUCCAAUGAAGUUCUUCAGCCAUAUUGCCUCCUUUGCUGCAUCGCUUGCUGCUAUGUACUCUGAUUCGCAAGUUGAAUAAGCCAAUGGCUCUGGCUUGGAACUUUUCAAGGUAAUUGCUCCUCCAUUUAAGGUAAAGAACCAGCCUGACUGAGAGCGGAAAUUAUCCCUAUUAGUCUGGAAGCUAGCAUCACUAUACCCCACUACUCUCAAGUCAUCACUCCCACCGAGGGUAAGGACCCAGUCCUUAGUCCUCCGCAGGUACUUGAGAAUGUUCUUUACCACAGUCUAGUGAGCCAUGCCAGGGUUCCCCUGAUAUCUGUUGGCCAUGCUCAAUGCAAAGGCCAUAUCAGGACGAGUACAAGUCAUAACAUACAUGAUCGGUCCUACAGCGGAAGUAUAUGGUACUCGACUCAUCUCAUAUAUCUCAGCUUCAGUACUCGGGCUCUGAGUCUUACUCAGUUUGGCGUUGCUCUGGAUCAGUAACUCUCCUUUCUUGGAAUCCUGCAUGCUGAACCUAUUCAGAACCUUAUCCAAGUAGGUACUCUGACUAAUUCCAAUUAGUCUCUUACUCAUGUCUCUCAAAAUCAUUAUCCCUAGGAUAUAGGCAACUUCUCCAAGGUCCUUCAUAGCAAAACACUUCCCAAGCCAGGACUUCACUUCCUGCAGAGUUGGGAUGUCAUUUCCUAUGAGUAGUAUUUCAUCCACAUACAGUACCAAAAAUCUAACUAUACUCCCACUAACCUUGACAUAUACACAUGACUCAUCUUCGCUCCUCGAAAAACCAAACUCUUUGAUUUUCUCAUCGAAACAAAGAUUCCAUCUGCGAGGUGCUUGUUUCAAUGCAUAGAUGGAUUUCUCAAGCUUACACACUCUAUUAGGGUAUUCUGCGCUGACAAAACCCUCUGACUGACUCAUGUAAACAUCCUCAUCCAACUUUCCAUUAAGGAAAGCGGUUUUGACAUCCAUUUGCCAUAUUUCAUAAUCAUGAAAUGCAGUAAUGGCUAGCAUAACCCUAAUAUACUUAAUCUUCGCUACUGGUGAAAAGGUCUCAUCAUAGUCAACUCCCGGAGUUUGUGAAAAGCCCUUUGCAACCAGUCAUGCCUUAUAAGUGUGCACAUUACCAUCCAUGUCGGUCUUCUUCUUGAAGAUCCAUUUGCACUGACUGUCUUACGACCUGGUACAUUGUCAACCAAGUUCCAAACUUGAUUUUCAUACAUGGAUUGUAUCUCGCUAUCCAUAGCCUCUUUCCAUUUAGCAGACUCGGGGCCUGCCAUGGCUUCCGUGUAGCUGUUAGGUUCAUCCAAACUUACCAGUGUACUAUCACUGAUAAAUGUAUCACCUUCCGCAGUAAUAUGGAAACCAUAGUAAUGCUCAGGUGCAUUCCUAACUCUCAUGGAACGCCUCAGAGGUAUAGACUCGUCAAUUGGAUCAACAGGAGUUUCCUCCUCAGGUUGAUUGCUAGGGUUUGAGGUUCCUUCACCACUUGACUCUUGAAUUUCUUCAAGGUCAAUUUCCCCCCUCCCCCACUAUUUCCUUAGCUUAUGAACUCUCUCUCGCGAAAGACUCCUCUCCUUGCCACAAAGACCACAUUAUCACUGGGUCUAUAUAAGAGAUAACCAAAGAAUUUAUGUGGAUAGCCGAUGAAAAUACACCGCUCACUCCGAGGUUCGAGCUUAUCAUGAGUCUCACUCCUCACGAAAGCCUCGCAACCCCAAAUCUUGAUGUGGUCCAAAUUAGGAACUUUCCCAGUCCACAUCUCGUGAGGUGUUUUGGCAACCUUUUUCGUAGGGACUAGAUUAAGAAUAUGGACAGCAGUCUCUAAGGCAUACCCCCAAAAUGAGAUUGGUAGUGAAGCUCGACUCAUCAUGGAAUGAACCAUGUCCAACAAGGUUCGAUUACACCAUUAAGUUGUGGUGUUCUGGGAGGUGUCAAUUGUGACACAAUCCCACAUUCCUUAAGAUAGUCAAGGAACUUUGUACUAAGAUACUCACCCCAUCGAUCGGAUCGAAGCAUUUUAAUGUUCCUGCCCAGCUGAUUCUCCACUUCCUGUUUAAACUCUUUGAACUUUUCAAAGGUUUCUGACUUAUGCUUGAUUAAGUAGACAUAACCAUAUCUACUAUAAUCAUCAGUAAAAGUCACAUAGAAGCGGUUAGCAUCCCUUGUGGCGGUUCUGAAGGGUCCACACACAUCUGUACGUAUAAGAUCCAACAAACCUUCACUCCUAGCACAAGUACCAGUGAAGGGUGACUUUAUCAUUUUUCCAAGUAAACAAGAUUCACAACUAUCAUCUGAAUUUAGGUCAAAUGACUCCAAGACUCCAUCAUUUUGGAGUUGGCCUAUGUGUUUCUUUCUAACAUGUCCAAGACGACAAUGCCAUAAUGACGCUUUAUCCAAGCUAGUGGAAGAAUCAAUACACAAUACAUUAUUUCCUAGGUUAUCUACAACCGACACAGUUUCAUAUACACCAUCACAAGGUAAUGCUUUAAAACAAAGAACAUUAUUAUAGAAAGCAUUAAUACCAUCACAUUCAUUAUCAAAUGAAAAAAUAAAUCCUUGUUUGUACAAACCAUGAAAAGAAAAAAUAUUUCUCGCCAUUUAAGACGAGUAACAACAUUUAUUCAAAUCUAAUGUUAACCCUCUACAUAGAAACAAAGAAUAAACCGAAUCUUGGUGAUGGGUGAAACUUUCCUAUUCCCCAUGAUUAAGUUUAUCUUCCCAUGCUCCACAUUUCCACUUCUUCUUAGUCCCUGCAAAUCAGAACAUAUGUGAAUACCAAAACCUAUAUCAAGGACCCAAGAAUUAGAAUAGGGUGAGUUAUUAGACAAUAUAGUGUAAAUACCUGCAUGGUUGGGUUUUACUUUCCCAUCCUUAACAUCUUGCAAGUACUUUGGGCAGUUUCGCUUCCAGUGCGCCUUUUCAUGGAAAUAGAAGCAUUCAGCCUCUUUAGGGUUGGCAGAAGGAGUGACAGAACCACCUUUGUUUCUACUUGAAGAGGAGCCAUCAAGAGACUUUCCCUUGGUACCCUUCGAGGGGCUCUUCCUCUUCUUCCCUUUACCUUUCCCAAUAGCCAGAACAGGGGCGGUGGUAGGAGUACGAGUGGUAACAACCGAUUUACUUUUAAGACCACUUUCGGCGGUCUUCAAAACUCCUUGAAUUUUUCUGAGUGUGACCUCCUCCUUGUUCAUAUGAUGGGUCAUUCAGAAUUGAUCAUAACAAGAAGGUAAGGAGUGCAAUAUGAUAUCAAUAGCCAACUCCUCAGGGAACUUCACAUUCAACUUCAGCAGAAGGUCCACAAACCUUUGCAUUUUCUGCAUGUGGUCCGUGAUGGGUUCACCAUCCUUCAUUCGGGUUGUUAUCAUGGAGGAGAUUAUUUCAUAUCGCUCUUGACAAGCACUCUGAUGGUAUCUAUCCAUGAAAUCUUGCUACAUCUCAAGAGGAUAAAAGUCCCCAUAGGACUUUUGGAGCUCGGCUAUCAUUAUGGCCCACAUGAUACAUGCCACUUUGGUAGCAUCUCUCUCAUGUGCCCUAAAGUCAACGAUCUCCUCGGGAGUAGCAGUAGACUCAUCAAGAUCCUUCAUCUCCUUGUCGAGGACAUAUUCCUUGUCCUCAUAUCGAGUGACCAUCCUUAUGCUCCUAAUCCAAUCAUUGAAAUUAGUCCCAUCAAAGAUGACUCUCCCACAAAGGUUCAUGAGAGUGAAGGAGUCGGUAGGGUUUGAGCCAGAAGCAGCAUUGUUGGAAGACAUCUAAAAAGAAGAAAGACAAGUUUAGAUUAGAUAUAAAGAUAGUCCUUAAUAAGACACCCAAAUGUAAUAUUAUGUCUAGGACCCAACACAAUAUUUUUAUAACAUAGAAGAGGGAUGCGGUAAUCCAAGCUAUAAGAUAUUUAAAGGUAGGUGAAUGACGAUUCACCAAUUUCCACCAUGAAAAACGAAAUGUAUUAUUUGGUUUUAAUUAGUUUUGAAACUCCUAGAUUCUUUUGAGAUUCAUUGAACUUUUCAAUGGCAUGUUUCAAUCUCGAUUGUGCCCUUCAAGUUCUGUGACUGGGAUGCCGAUGAUCACAAAACAAGGUGUGAAUAACCAUGCAAAUAAUUACUUCGUACUCUUAAUAUUUAUCACCUAAUCGAUGUACCAGUUAACCACACGCGCUCCACCGAUCUAUGAUAAACCUUAAGCCACCCUUUUCCAACCUUGUUAAAUCCAAGUUAGUGUGUUGGUUAANAAAAAAAGGUGUAACCUUAAUUAAUUCCAUAAGUUAUAAAAUAAAGAAAAGUUAAUUCUUUUAUUAGUUUAAAGUCUUCCAUAACUUGUCCUCAAGUUAUGGAACUUGAAGAGUUUUUGGAUUAAAACUACUUUAAACACAUAAGUUAUGGAAUUAAUUAGUUUUGAAUAGUUUCAAAACUUGCCCUCAAGUUUUGGAAUUUGUAAAGUUUUCUCUAAUGAAUACUUUAAUUCCAAGUUAGCCCUUAGAAUUUUAAAAGUUAAAAUUCAACCCUUAUACCUUAAUUAAUUCCAAGUUAGCCCUUAUACUUUAAUUCCAUGUCUCAGUCCAUAUAUAUAUAUUAUUAACUUAUAAUAUUAUAAAGUAUAUGGGUUGAAUUUUAACUUUUUAAAAUUCUACGGGUUGGAACUAAAGUUUUCUAAAGUGACUUUAUAUUUUCCAAAACUUGAGGGCAAGUUUUGUAACUAUUCAAAACUUUUCAACUUCAUAACUUAUUAGUUAAUGGUUUAUUAAAAUGAAGACUCUUCAUUUUAUGUAAACUAUGUGUUGUUUAAUGGACUUUAAAAGAAAAACUUUUGGUAAUCGAUAACUUGAGGACAAAUUAUGGAUUCCAUUAAAAACAUUUAGAUCAAAAAUUAAACUAACAAACAAUUUGUAAAUAAUUCCUAUGAUAUACCAAAUUCAUAAGUCUAUGAACAUUCAUAUCAACAAUUUCAAGAAUCAUAAAAAAAUAUAUAUAAAAAACUUGAAAUGCAUGGAUAUAUGGAUAUAUGCAUGGAAUCGUCGAGUCCCCCUAUGGACUCAGCUAGUUCACUCAGCAGAAUGAAGAAAUUUCGACUUUCUUCAACAAUUUGCAUGAAGUAUCAAGAAAACAAGCCUAGGCUAUGAUACCACUGAAGGGUUUUGAUCAUUCUAACACUCCUAAGGUGUACAUGCAACCCUAGAAACCUUGGAUCUAUGUUUUACUAAGAUACAUGCAAAUUUGAUUUUUCCAAGGUUCUUAACCUAACUAACAUGACAUGGGGAACUUGAAACAUAAAAGCUAGUAGAAGAACUUACCUUUCUUGUUGCUUGGAUUCCUUAAGAACUUUGUGAGCCUAGCACCCUAAAUGUGAUGGGUCAAGUGUUUCACACAACACAUAAACUCUUGGAAUAUGUAACGCCCGUACAUCCGGACUAGUCAAUUUAGAGGCAAUAAGUGUCGAAAAUGACUUUUCGGCAAAAUAUUAUUUAGAAUAAAUAAUCUUAACCAAGUUGUAGUAUAUGUUACAAGGUUUCCGUACAUAUAAAGACCGCCGAAAUCCGAAUUAUAACAAAGAAGCUAUGACCCGUCGAAGUUUCGCGAUGGAACCGGUACGAUACCGGGAAACGUAAAUAGUGAAUUUAUGAUAGAGCCAAGUGUCGAAAAUGACUUUUCGGCAAAAUAUUAUUUAGAAUAAAUAAUCUUAACCAAGUUGUAGUAUAUGUUACAAGGUUUCCGUACAUAUAAAGACCGCCGAAAUCCGAAUUAUAACAAAGAAGCUAUGACCCGUCGAAGUUUCGCGAUGGAACCGGUACGAUACCGGGAAACGUAAAUAGUGAAUUUAUGAUAGAGCCAGAUUUAGCCUUAGCGAUAUAAACGAAAGUCGUAGAAUACGUUAAACCAAAAUCGUCCAUAAAAAGAACGCCCAAAUCAGACUUCGUAUGAGGAAGUUAUGAUUUUUCGAAGUUUCGGAUUAGUAGUAUACAGCCCGAGAUUCGAAUAUUAGAUCGAGCAGUUUUUAGCCGACACAACCUAAACGAGAAUCGAAGAUCUCGUUAUUAGUAGCGUAACAAUAAAAAGACAGACGAAAAUGGACAUCGGAUGAAGAAGUUAUGAAAUUUUAACGGACCAAUCCUGUCCCGGCCUGUUAAAAAUAUAACUUUAAAAAUAAAUUCAAAAUUAGCCGACGGAGUCUAAACGAAAGUUGUAGAGUACGUCUCCACCUACGAGUGGAUAUAAAUAACGUCAAAAACGGAGUUCGUAUGAACAAGUUACAAAUUAUAAUAGCAUAUUUACGUAUUAAAAUAAAGUAUAAAUCACAUAUACGUACACAUACAUACACACACACACACACACACACACACAUAUAUAUAUAUAUAUAUAUAUAUAUAUAUAAACACAUAUGUAUAUAUCAUUAGAAAGGUAUCGACGAUGCGGUCAUUAUAAGACUAAUGUUGAGUUCUUUCGACAUUAGUUUACUGCAAAUAUCGUUAAAUCUAUUUAAAAUAGUAUUAUAAAUGGGUGUUUAGUUGUUUAUAUAACUAUAAGGUCAUUAAGUAAUUAUGGAGGGUAGUUUUUGUAAAUUCAACUACUAUAAAUAAGAGGCUUGGGCUCUCAUAUUUCUUGCACCAUUCUCUUGAUUCAAGAGUCUUUCUCUCCUUAUCCCCCGAGCAUUUCGGUCCCUCGUGAUUCGACUUCUCUUUCUGUAGUUUUAGUAUAGUAAGGUGAGCGCUGAAGCGCUGCACGAAUCUUUCUUAGAAAGAUUCAGCGACGAAGUUCUGCCCCUACAGAGCCCGACUCCUAGCUAAAAUCCCCUUGUAAGUAAGUUAUGCUUACCCUAUUUUAAAUAUAGUUUAUAUUUAAAAUUAGUAUUGUUAUUAUAAAUUUAUAAUAAAUAUUUGAGCUAUUAUUAUGACUUAUAUAAGUGUCGUUAUAAUAUCUUUUUAACUACUCGCGGUACGGGGAAUCUGGUUUAAAGGGCCGCAUAGGGUUGUUGGAUUUCAGAAGUGCUAUAUGCCAAAAUGGUCCUGCCCUCCGGUGUUUUAUGUCUGGCCCCUGUCUGUACAUAGUGGUUGGAAAGUAUUGUUUAAACGCUUAUAUAAUAAUAAUAAUAAUAAUAAUAAUAAUAAUAAUAAUAAUAAUAAUAAUAAUAAUAAUAAGACUAAUAAUUAGUCACGGUAAAUAUUAGACUAAAAUCUAGUGGUGAUAAUACUAGGUUUCGUCGAAGGAAAUUAUUUUAAAGUAAACGAAGCGUUGUCCGAGUACCGAGUCACCACCUUCUCAGGUGAGUGCAUAGUUACUUUCAUCUUACACAUAGAUAUGAAGUAUUUUAUAUAAACUACGUGCUAUGUGUGCAUAUUAUCUUAAUACUUGCUGUCUAUGCAGGAUGAACGUUUUUUUAUACAUGUUUUAAAUGAUUUGAACUGUAUACGUAUUUUAAAUAUACAAGUAUGUUGGGUAUGAAAUGGGUAGAUGAAUGAUGAGAGAUAAAAGAUGAUGUGAGUAAACAUUGGCAGCUAUAGACUUAGUGCCUAAUAAAUAACAUCGGCAGCUAUGGACUUAGUGCCUAUUGGACAAACACUGGUAGCUAUGGACUUAGUACCUGUUAGGAAUUGGUAGCUAUGGACUUAGUACCUAUUAGAUAAACACUGGUAGCUAUGGAUUUAGUACCCGAUGAAUAAACUAUAGCAGCUAUGGAAUUAGUGCUUUACGAACGAGCAUUGGCAGCUAUGGACUUAGUGCCAGUCCUAUAACCCUGGAAACAAGGGACUUCGGAAUAAACGAAUGCAGGAUAGAUGACUCUUAGGAUAGAUCCUUCAGAGUAAAGAAGAUAAUGAGGAUGGGUAAUUGGGUUGAUUGUUUGGUUGUUUAAACAUAAUAAUUAUAUUAUUGUGGGUUGAAAACCCUAUGUACUCACCAGGUUUCCCAACCUGAUCCACUCAGUUUAUUUAUAUCACAGGUGUUGAUAUGAAGUCACAUCACACUGAGAGAUUAAAGAGAUGUAGAUCACUAGUGUAAAUAAAUGUAAGUUCCGUUUAUGCUUAUGUUUCUGUAUUGACGAUGACAUCCCACGCGUUUUUAAAUGAAUAAAAUAAGUUUCUUCGAAAAUGUUUUGAUAACGUAUUUAUCGUGUUUUUCUGGGAACAAAUUCUGCAACACUUUUAUGAAAAGAAGUACUCUGAUUCACUACUAGAAAAAAGGCCUUUUACGACGCGCAAAACACGACGCUCUUUGAUUUAUGUUACGCAUUAGAGAGCGACAUUAAAAAAGUGUCAUCUCUUCAAAAAUUUUAAGGAUUUAGGUCGCGCAUUACUGAGUGCCCUUAAAUUAGUGUCUCAUGUAAAAAUAUUAAAAACACGGAGGGCACCUAUAAUAAAACGGGCGUCCUCUACAAAUGUCGCUUUAUAAUUUUAAUAAACGCGCGUUUCUGGGACUCCUUGAUAGGUAAGGGGGGAAACUAAAUCCCCCAAAAUUUUGAACACCCGCUUCCUCUUCCUCUCUACUCUCUACACCCGCCAAAAUCGACUUCAUUCUCUCCCUUCUUUCUCUCUGCAAACCCCUUCCUCUCCGAUCGACUUUCACUUCCUUCUAUGUGCAAACCCUAAUCAAACAUAACACAUUUGAAAUAGUAAUAUCUUCUUUCACAAAAUAGAAGAUUGAUCGAAGAAUGAUUUUCUUUUGAUGAAUCGGACAUCACCAACAACAAUAGCUUCCAUCACAAUUUGUGUUUGCUUUCAGACUCCACCGUUACAACAUCGCACCACAACACCAGCCCUGAGCCACCACCACACUGCCUUCGCAACAGCCCAGAACCACCACUAUACCACCACUGUUGCCUAUUUCAUCUGCGUAGUAGGCCUAUUUCAAAGGUAAUUCUUCCUUUUUCAACCAUAGUUACCUGUUUCAUGUCCUACUGGUCCUUCUUUUUGGACGAUUUUUUGUGCCUUUUUACCCUCUCUCAUAUAUUUUCAUGGAAUUGUUAAUAUUUUAUGAUAUAAGUACCUGAAUUUUUUUAUGCACACUAGGUGUUUGACUAAAUGUUUGAACCAAAAGGGGAUUGUCCAAAGAUUAAUGAACAAGGUUCAAAGCAACCUGCCACAGUGACAACCUCACAGGUAAAUAAAAAUUUAUGUAUUCCUAUUAGAUUCAAUUUACUAUUAUUAUACAUACACAUGAGUAGUAAUCAGCCAAUUGUGUUUUGAUAAUGAAAAAAAAAUCAAUUUAGUGUUUAGGAGUUGGAAUUUAAUUUAUGUAAUAGGAAUUGAAUCUCAUUUACUUACAAUUUCUAAACUGAUUUGAUUCCCUUUACUAUCUCAAUAUGAGAAUCCAGCAAUACGGUCACAACUGUGAUCUGUUACUGUAGAGUUGCUAACUAAAACCUGUGUCCAAACUCUAGAAGGUCACACACACAAUGUUUCUGCUGUAUGUUUCCAUCCCGAGCUUCCAAUAAUAAUGACAGGUUCAGAAGAUGGUACUGUCCGUAUAUGGCAUUCAACCACUUACAGGUGAGCUCUUGUUUUUUUACCUUUAAGGGUGUGUUUGUUUUGUAGAUUCUAAAAGAAUCGGAAUGCUAGAUUCCAUUCCAUGGUGUGUUUGGUUUCCAAAUGGAUGGAAUUCAAUUUUUGUUGGAUUCCUUCAAAUUCCAUGUUUGAUGGAUGGAAGGAAUUCAAUUUCUUUCUUCAUUUCCUAUCAAAAGACCAAAAUACCCUCGUUAUACAUAUGUUAAAAAUGUAAACUUUUUGACUUUAUGCCACUUUUUUUUUUUAUUCAGACUUGAGAACACCUUGAACUAUGGACUUGAAAGGGUUUGGGCUGUUGGAUACAUGAAAGGUUCACGUCGGUAAGUUUGUAUAGCACUUUUUGUUUUUUGUUUUGUGGGUCUUGAAUCUUGAUGCUUCUUCAUUCAUCUGGAUUUAUUUUAAUUACUGUUUUUACAGGAUUGUUAUUGGCUAUGAUGAAGGAACCAUAAUGGUGAAAAUUGGACGUGAAGAGCCUGUAGCCAGCAUGGACAAUAGUGGAAAAAUUAUAUGGGCUAAACAUAAUGAAAUUCAAACUAUUAACAUCAAGAGUGUGGGAGCUGAUCAUGAGGUUUGGACUUUAAAGCCCAUAUACAUGUUAUGUUAUGUUAACAAUGAAAUGGGAAAAAAAUCUAUUUUUUAUUCAGGUUUCUGAUGGAGAGAGGCUGCCUUUAGCAGUUAAAGAACUGGGAACAUGUGAUCUUUAUCCACAAGUGAGUUAUGCUUGUUCCUACCUUCCUUUAAACUGAAAAUAGUCAACCAUAUGGACUUUGACUUUUCUAUUUUUCCACAGAGCUUGAAGCACAACCCAAAUAGGAGGUAUGUUGUUGUCUGUGGUGAUGGUGAAUACAUCAUAUACACAGCUUUGGCAUGAAGUACUGGUUGGUAAAAAAUUCGUGGGGUGCUAGAAAGUAUCACCCGAAAAACGAUGGGCCAAAGGUAAUAUCUGUUGUUAUAUUGACUAUUUUGCCCUUAUUGUUUUUUAUGGAUCUGAUUUAUUUUUUUUUACAAUUACAGGUUUCGUUUUUUAGUGAUGAUGAAGAGACUACCAGCACACCAAAAGCAGAUGCUCUUUUUAUUCCAAGGGAGAAUCCAAGAGCUCUGGUUAUUCGCCCUCUUAAACAAUGGCCUGGCAAAUCAUCUGCUGAAAAAUUAAAAAACGCAUCUUCUCCAGCACAAACAAACGGUAAACUAAUUUUCUGCUGCUACCUUAAAAAUAAAAAUAAUCAUUUUUUAUCUCAUUUUUUUUAUUUGAAUUCAGGUGAUUACACUGGGUUUGCUUCUUCCCCUCCUUUAAAUGGUCGCUCUACGGAAAACGGUAACAGUAAGAUCAUUUCUUUUACUGCAAUUUGAAUAUUUGGAACUCAAUUCCAUACUAAUAUCAAAAUCUUUGAUUACAGGAAACCAUUCUGAAAACGGAACCCUAAAGGAACAAACACCAAUCAAAACCCCCCAAAAACAAAACGGAGGAUGUGAUGGUGGCGAGAUGGAAGAUGGCUUUGAGUUUAUCGUUAAAAACAAAGGCAUCAACACCGAGGUGGCUUACCCAUAUCAGGCAACAGAUGGAACCUGCAACACCAAGGAAGAAGCUGUCCAUGCUGCCACCAUUACUGGGUAUGAAAAAGUGCCAGCCAACAGUGAAUCCGCAUUGUUACAGGCAGUCGCUAAUCAACCCGUAUCAGUUGCCAUUGAUGCCAGUGGCAUGGGUUUCCAGUUCUAUUCAGGUGGCGUGUUUACUGGGGAUUUUGGAACUGAUCUUGACCAUGGUGUUACAAGCUUGUUGAAUCAAAUGGAGUUAUAUGUGGUUGUGUAUAUACUUGCAAUCUUAGGCUUGGAUAGUCUACAAGGAAUCAUGCUGGAUCAAGGCAGCUGUAUUGAUACCUGUUGUACUUUUUGCAGGAAGGUAAUUAAACUUUAUUAUUAUUAUUAUUACUAUUAAUUACAAGUGUAACAUGUUUUAAGUAAAUUUUCAUUCCUUCUACAGCCCUAUUACAAAUGAUACGUGGCUCUGCAGUUCUUUAAGUUGUCACCAGAAGAAUCAUCAAAGGAUCCAUUAUAUCUUUUGAGGGACAUGUCCAAUAACGAUAACAAAAACUAAAAUCAAGUAAAAAUGUUUGCUAAAAUGCUUGUAAUUUUAUUAUAUAUUUGGCUUAUAUAGGGAUGCCAUGGGAUACAAAAGGGGACAUUUUGUUUUAAUUGCAAAAAUAAUCAUUUCUGCACUAGGCUACUUGAUGCUGGGAACUUUUAUUUAUGUGCUUAUCGUUGAUGGAUCUACAUUCAAUGCCAAUGUAUUAUCAAGGUACCAUUUAAAAUUUCCCUUUUAUUUAAUUUAUGUAAAAAAGUGUAAUAGUAAAUGCUCAUACAUAGUUGUAAAUGCUCACAGGUGCAUGAUAGCAACAACAACCGAUUUCUAUUUUUGUAUUGUCAUUGUAGCAGUAAGUCUUUGUUUAUUAUAUACUUUCCAACUAUAGUGAAAAGGAGAUUUUUCGACUUUUGUUAUAACAAUAAUGUUUGAUUGCUUCUUUUGAUCAGGUGUGGAUUGCAUAUAAGGAAUCAAGGUGGAUAAGUGCUUUCUUUUGGAUACUUUCACUUCUAUCUUUUUGGAGGGUAAGCAUAUAUAGAAACUAGCUCACUUUCCUUUUUUCACUCUCUUAAGUAUAUAACUAUAUAUGGGAUGCUGUUUGGAUUUACAACUGAAGGAAUCAUGGUAUAUUUCCAGGACCCUGAAAUCAUUUACAUUGUCUUAUUUUCUCAAAAUAUUAAUUGUUUAUGUUGCUUCCAAAUACAAGGUAUGAAAAGCUGCAACGGUGGGAUGAUGCCCUUAAAGCAUACACUGCAAAAUCUGCUCAAGCAACAAGUCAACGUCUUAUCUUGGAUGCUACACUAGGUAUUAUUCAAAUAUACCAUGCCAUGGUGUUAUAGUAUUUAUAUUAUUAUCAUUUCAAGGUAAUUAAUUAAAAUAUUUGUUCAUUCUUAUGACGAAUGAGGAGUCAGUGACAGAUGGGUAUAUAUUAUAUAAUCAAAACACUAUAAUUAUAAAUAUUUAUUUUUUUUACUAUAAAUAAAUUAUUUGAGUUAAAAUGGCAUGAAUGAUUUCAGGUAAAUGGGGAUGGUAAUUCUGAAAAUGGCUCCCAUAUAUGUGAACAAUAUCCAUUUUCAGUAAAUGAGAAGGUUGUUAUUUUUAUUUAUUUCACUUUUGUUUUCUAUGUGAAGAUAUACUGACAAAAAAUACAUUACAUGACAUGAUAUGUUGGUUGAGUAGCUUUACGUGUUCUAAUGGGUGGUGUUAGAUGGAAUUGUGAUGAUAUACUCUCUAGUUUAUAUGAUCAAAGAUUGUCAUUGUGAAUAUCAUUGUUGAUAGCUUUACAGAUAAUAUUUACCAUUUGUAUGCGGGUAUUCUUGUCAUUGUGUUUGUCAUUGUUGAUAUUAGGUAAUUCAUAUUGUAGUGUAUUUAUUCCAAAUCCCAAAUUCUUUGGAUGGAGAAAAGGGUAAUUUCGUCUUUUACAACUAACAUUCCAAGUUUGAUUCUUCUAAUAAUUGUAUUAACAUAUUAAUUUUUUGACUUUUAUUUGAUCAGGUCACAAGAAUUAUCGGAGCAGGGGUUCAAUAUUAGUCUUAAAGAAGUAUGAAAGGCAAGAUUCAACUCUACUUAGUUGGAAUUUGAUGUUUAUCAUCUUUGUGUAUAUCUUUUUAGUUUGUAUAGCAUUACAUUGCAUAAGGUGUCCCUUAAUAGCAAUUUAGUAUUAUGUUAUAUAGUUAGGGAAAACCUCUUAAUAACAAUGUACAAUUAGAUCCCCUUAAUAUAAAUGUAUUACAAUUUUUUGACAUGAUGUUUUUGGUAUAUAUUUGUUUACAUAUGGAACGAUUAUUUGUAUGACAUUAAAUUUAUGCAAUGGAUUCUAUUUUUGUAUAUGAUAUUUUAUUAUCUAUUAUCUAUUAUUAAACAUUAAAUACAAAUUUAAUUUGAAAAUAAGCAAAUCUAUAAAUAAUAUUUUUUUAAACAUUUAAAAUUAUGAUACGCAAAAAUGUGUGUCAUCUUCAUUUAUGACAUGGCCUUUCUUGACAGGGGCUUCCUUGAUACGCAUUGCGUGUCAUAAACACGCGCGUCAUAAGGUUACGACACGCAAAUGCGUGUCGUCUUCCUUUAUGACAGGGCCUUCCUUGAUACGCAUUGCGUGUCAUAACCGCGCGUCGUAAAUGCGCGUCGUCUCUCUUUAUGACAGGGCCUUCCUUGACACGCAUUUGCGCGUCGUCUGAGCGUUUUACGAUGCGCAAUGAGCGUCGUAAAAGGCCUUUUUUCUAGUAGUGAUUUUUACAAAGCAUAAACAAAAUCGGUCUUUUCUGGCCGUGAAAAUGGGGAUGUCAUAGAAUAACUUUGAGAGAAGUACACACACUCAAAAUCGGCUAGCCCUCUUGUUCUUCACUUAGUGCCGAUUUUGGUAGCCCAUGGGGUCCUUUUAUAGUUGUGUCACAAGUUGGGUUACACCAUGUAAACCCUAAUUGACAUGGAUUUUCAUUUCCUCCAUGAUCCAUGUGUUUUAACCUCCAUGGACCACCCAUGGAGCACCCUAUGGGUUUUAGCUCAAUUCAAUAAACCAUGGAUCAUUAGCCCACUAUAUAAGAAUGGAUGAUUUACACAAUCAACCCCAUAUAUUUAAUUAGUCUCUUUUUGAUCACCAAAUUAAUUCUUGAUCAAUACUAAUAAACUAAUAUUAUUAAUAUAUUAGAACUUAUAAUAUAUUAAUGAACCAUAAGUGUCCUUUUCUCAUUUUGUCUAUCCAAGUGUCAUGUUGCCAUGCAACCUAAAUGGACCAUGCCAUCCGGGUCAAGUAUAUACUAGAAAUAGUUAUGGACUUAGACACCUUAUCCAACAAUUACAAGUUCAUGGUGAUGUCAUUUGGGAUCACUAAUGUGCCUGUUGUGUUUAUGGUUUGAUGAAUCGUGUGUGCAGGCUGAUGAUCGACCAAUCUGUCAUUGUGUUUAUUAAUGAUAUCUUGGUGUAUACCAAGACCAGAGAGCAGCAUGAGGAGCACCUUCGAGAUCUUCUAGGGGUAUUGAGGUGAGAACGGUUGUAUGCCAAGUUCUCGAAGUGUGAGUUUUGGUUACAAGAGGUCCAAUUGCAUGGGCACCUUGUUAACCAAGAUGGGAUUUUGGUCAAUCCGGCCAAGAUCGAGGUUGUGAUGUAGUGGGAGGUUCCGAAAUAUACCUCAGAUAUCAGGAGUUUCUUAGGUUUGGCGGGAUACUAUCAGAGAUUUAUUUAGGAUUUCUCCAAGAUUACAGUACCCCUCACUCGUCUGACAAGGAAGAUAGUGGAUUUCCAGUGGGGCCCUGAGUAGCAGUCGGCAUUCGAGACUCUUUAGUGGAGGUUAUGUGAGGCCUCAAUAUUGACCCUUCUGGGGUGAGUGGAGGAUUUUGUGGUAUUCUGUGAUACAUCCAUCACUGGUUUAGGGGCGGUCCUUAUGCAGAGGGGGCGAGUGAUUGCUUAUGUUUUAUGGUACAUGAAGUUGCAUGAGACACAAUAUCCUACUCAUGACCUAGAGUUAGGAGCAGUGUUUUUUCCCUCAAGAUUUUGAGGCAUUAUCUUUAUGGGGUCCAUUGUACUAUCUACACGGAUCACAAGAGUUUGAGAUAUCUUAUGGAUCAGCCGAACCUGAACAUGAGGUAGCACAGGUGGGUGGAAGUGGUCAGGGAUUAUGACUACGAGAUCCUUUACCAUCUGGGUAAAGCGAAUGUGGUAGCGGAUGCUUUGAGCCACAAGUUGGUUGGGUCUUCGAUUAGGGAGGUAUGUAUGAGGAUAUUUGUUGAUUCUCUGAUUUUGGGAUUGAUCAGAGAAGCACAGACAGAGGGAGUUCGGAAGGAGAAUUGGAAACAUGAGAGGAUCAGGGGAAAGAUCGACAUAUUUAUCACCGAUAGUCGAGGGUUGUUGACUCGAUGUGGUCGAGUUUGGGUCCCAGUUUCGGGAGGGAUCAAGCAGAUUGUGCUGGAGGAAACUCAUAAGUCUCAUUUUUCUAUACACCCAGAGCCACCAAGAUGUAUCAGGAUUUGAUAUUGAGCUACUAGUGGUCGCGUAUGAAGAGGGAGAUAGCCUGGUAUGUCGAGAGGUGCUUGACUUAUAGGAUGGUCAAGGCCGAGCAUUAGAGGUCGUAUGGCAAGCUGCAACCUUUGGAGGUUCCCAUGUGGAAGUGGGAACAAAUCACCAUGAAUUUUAUCACCAAGUUGCCAAAUACGGCCAAGGUUUUGAUGCUAUUUGGGUUAUUGUGGAUCGAUUGACCAAGAGUGCCCACUUUUUAGCUAUCCGGGAGAGCUCUUCGGCCGAAAAGUUGGCCGAUGUGUAUGUCCGGGAGAUUGUUGCUUGUCAUGAGGUUCUGGACUCCAUUGUUUCUGACCGAGAUGUUCGAUUCACUUCAUGAUUUUAGCAGAGGUUCCACGAGGAACUAGGCACGAGAUUACAUUUCUGCACCGCGUAUCAUCCAUACACCAACAGUCAGAGUGAGCGGACCAUCCAAACCCUUGAGGUAUAUUGCGGGCAUGUGUCAUUGAUUUCAGUGGGAUUUGGGAUUCCUACCCACCUCCUAUGGAGUUCUCCUAUAACAACAUUUAUCACUCCAGCAUUGGUGCCCCGCCUUUUGAGCUCUUGUAUGGUCGGAGAUGUCGCACCCCGGUAUGUUGAGGAGAGGUUGGUCAUCGGGUAAUGUGAAGGACCAACGUAGUCCUUUGGACCAUAAAGCUUAUUCAGCAGAUCAGCCAGAGACUAUGGACAACACAGAGUUGACAUAAGAUUUAUGCCGACCGACACCGAUCUGAGUUGGAGUUUUCAGGUCGAUGAUAUGGUAUUACUGAAGGUCUCACCUUAGAAGGGUGUGAUACGCUUCAGGAAGAGAGGGAAGUUGGGUCCCUGAUAUAUUGGACCUUUCUGUGUGAUCGCUAGGGUAGGCAAGGUGGCUUAUCGGUUAGAUUUACCGAGCGAGCCCGGUCAGAUCUACAACACUUUCCAUGUCUCUCAGUUACGGAAGUGUGUGUUGGACAGUGAGGCAGUGGUUCCAGUAGAUGAUAUUCAAGUCGAUGAGCGCCUGAACUAUAUUGAGAGGCCAGUGGCUAUUCUGAAAAGAAAGAUUAAGGUCAUGCGCAACAAGGAGAUAUCUUUGGUAAAGGUUCAAUGGCAUCAUUGGAGAGGCUUCGAGUGGUUUUGGAAGCCAGAGGCUGAGAUGCGGGAGCAUUAUCCUGAUUAUUCGUGAUGGUUUAUAAGCAAAACAUCAUUCCUAUGGUGUACAUGAAAACCCUAAUAGCUUUUGGAUCUAGUUUGUCUAAUGAACAUGCAAUUGAAUAUCCAAAGCUAUAAACCUUAGAUCUAGCAUACAAUUAAUCAUAUUAACAUAUGAUUGGGGUUUAGCUCUUACCUUGAUUGUUAUGUAGCAAUAAAAAUCUCAAAUCCUCCUUGUAAUGAAAGCUUAGAGUCAUAAGUGUCACUCCUCUAACGGCUCAUAAACACCAAGAGCAAGAGGAUGAAGAAUGAUAAGAGAUGAGGCACCCAAAAACGUGUAAAAACCCUAAGGAAUACCUUCACCACGUUUUUGGUGCUCUAGGGAUCCUUAAAUAGUGAGGCUAUUAGGGUUAUCUAACAAGGAAACCCUAAUUUGACUGCUUAGGCCCUAAGCAACCCAUGGACUCCCUCCUUAGAGGCCUUGGACGAUUUCUAAUGGGUUUCCCCAUAGAAUUCGUCCACUCCAUCCUUUAUGGAGUCCAUUAGCCCAAUAUUCAACUAUCACACAAUUGACAGUUCUAGUCCCCUUUAUUUAAUUAAUAUCUUUUAGCCACAAAAUUAAUUCUUAUUAAUUCUUGACUAAUAUUAAUUAAACAAUAUGAUUUCUCCUUUAAUAUAUGUGACAUCCCCAAAAUCCCGGCCAGAAAAGACCGAUUUUCAUUUAUGCUUUUAAAUAUUUUCAGAGUAAAUCCUUUUGAUUUGAAAGAGUUGCGGAAUUUGUUCCCAAAAACAAAACAUGAUAAAACAAUGUUUACCGAAGCAUUUCAUAAAAGAAAUGUAUUUUCAUUAUAAUCAAAACUCGGGGUGUCAUGUUCCGAUACAGACCAAUAAGCAUAAACGAAUACAUUACAAGUCAUAUAACAAAUAUAAACAUAUGCAGACUUGUAAACAAAACAACUUGAUGGUUCAUCCAUCUCAUGCCCUUCCGCCACUACCUGUAAUACAAUUUAAAACUGAGUGGGUCAGGCUUGGGAGCCUGGUGAGCAUAUAGGGUUUUCAACCCACAAUAAAUAUCAUAUUUAAUUUUCACCAACCAACAAUAACCCAAUUACCCAUUCCCGUUAUUCUCACUUUAAUGUCCCUAAAACAACUAACAUAAGGGACCUAGUCUAAGAAUAUUUCAUCGGGGCGACAACACAUGCUUCGGGGGUACCUCAGCAAUAUAAGUCAAAUAAGGCAACCAUGAGGGGGAUGGAGUACAGCGAAUGAACACCCAAGUUCAUUAACACCUACAGGUGGCGAACCUGCUAAUGUUUCCACAAGACUGUCUAGAAUAGCCAGUGGUCGUCAUCUAAACUCCGCUAGAUGACUCAAUCAAACAACAACGAGGCCUCUCAUCUGUUUAUUACACACCAACUGUCUACCCAUGUUCUACCCAACAUAUUAGUAGAUAAAAAUAUACAUUUGUAUACAUAGUUUAAAGAAAACCUGUAUAGCAUGCUUUAAUCAACACAUAUAUCACAUAACAGAUGAGGCACACACACACAUAACACAUAUCUCAUAAAGAAAUAAGCAGAUCUAUAAGAUAGAAGAGAGUGAAUACUCAUUCACACAUAACACAACCAAAUAUAUACACAUAGCACGUAUUUUUAUAUAAAAUACUUCGUAUUAUUGUAUUAGAAGAAAUAACUACACACUCACUUGAUCAGAAGAUGAUCGGACAGCACUACGGCUUAUAGAAGUAGUAAUCCACAGCAGAUCUGGAAGAUCUUCUCGAAAAUCGAACUUCUCGCGGGCAGAGCUUCGACUCGGGAACCGCACUUNCACUUGAUCAGAAGAUGAUCGGACAGCACUACGACUUGCAGAAGUAGUAAUCCACAGCAGAUCUGGAAGAUCUUCACAAAAAUCGAACUUCUCGCGGGUAGAGCUUCGGCUCGGGAACCGCACUUCUCGGGAUCUUCGGGAUCUCGGGACUUGCCUCGGGGCUCAGGAAUAUUACCGGGGCGUCGGGGUACUUCUGGCACGCAAAACGAUGCAAAACGGGAGAGAGAAGAGAGAAAAUAGCAACCCUAAACGGCUGGCCCUUCAAAUCUAUUUAUAGGGCAAAUUUGGCCCUUGAAAUGUCGUGGCAAUCUUGUUCCACGUCGUGGGCUUGGUCGUCACUGCANNNNNNNNNNNNNNNNNNNNNNNNNNNNNNNNNNNNNNNNNNNNNNNNNNNNNNNNNNNNNNNNNNNNNNNNNNNNNNNNNNNNNNNNNNNNNNNNNNNNNNNNNNNNNNNNNNNNNNNNNNNNNNNNNNNNNNNNNNNNNNNNNNNNNNNNNNNNNNNNNNNNNNNNNNNNNNNNNNNNNNNNNNNNNNNNNNNNNNNNNNNNNNNNNNNNNNNNNNNNNNNNNNNNNNNNNNNNNNNNNNNNNNNNNNNNNNNNNNNNNNNNNNNNNNNNNNNNNNNNNNNNNNNNNNNNNNNNNNNNNNNNNNNNNNNNNNNNNNNNNNNNNNNNNNNNNNNNNNNNNNNNNNNNNNNNNNNNNNNNNNNNNNNNNNNNNNNNNNNNNNNNNNNNNNNNNNNNNNNNNNNNNNNNNNNNNNNNNNNNNNNNNNNNNNNNNNNNNNNNNNNNNNNNNNNNNNNNNNNNNNNNNNNNNNNNNNNNNNNNNNNNNNNNNNNNNNNNNNNNNNNNNNNNNNNNNNNNNNNNNNNNNNNNNNNNNNNNNNNNNNNNNNNNNNNNNNNNNNNNNNNNNNNNNNNNNNNNNNNNNNNNNNNNNNNNNNNNNNNNNNNNNNNNNNNNNNNNNNNNNNNNNNNNNNNNNNNNNNNNNNNNNNNNNNNNNNNNNNNNNNNNNNNNNNNNNNNNNNNNNNNNNNNNNNNNNNNNNNNNNNNNNNNNNNNNNNNNNNNNNNNNNNNNNNNNNNNNNNNNNNNNNNNNNNNNNNNNNNNNNNNNNNNNNNNNNNNNNNNNNNNNNNNNNNNNNNNNNNNNNNNNNNNNNNNNNNNNNNNNNNNNNNNNNNNNNNNNNNNNNNNNNNNNNNNNNNNNNNNNNNNNNNNNNNNNNNNNNNNNNNNNNNNNNNNNNNNNNNNNNNNNNNNNNNNNNNNNNNNNNNNNNNNNNNNNNNNNNNNNNNNNNNNNNNNNNNNNNNNNNNNNNNNNNNNNNNNNNNNNNNNNNNNNNNNNNNNNNNNNUUCGGACACCAUCAUGAAUAUUCCCUAUAAUUCGAUCAACAGGAUAAUCUCGAUGUUCAAUGACUGAUGCUGAUUCCAGAGAAAUAGACACUGACACAUUAUCAGUUUCAGGAGAGUCUUCAGCUUCAAGGGUUUCAUCAGCACCUAAUGAGUUAUCUGUUGUUGUGGCUACAGUAUCUUGAUUCAAGGGACAUGGAACUGGAAUGAUCGGAUCAGAAGAAUCGGUCAUCUCUUCAGCACAAGGUGCUUCAUCGAAUGGACAAGAGAGAAGCUCUUGAAAGAUAGAAGGAGAAUGAGUGACUUUUUCAUCAGUGUAUGAUUCCUCAUCAAACUUCACAUGAAUGGAUUCUUCAACACAUUGCCUGUUCACAUGAAAAACACGAAAAGCCUUUGAAAUAGAUGAGUACCCAACAAAAAUACCUUUAUCAGCUUUAGGUUCAAACUUGGAUCUUGGGUCACGCUGAUUUAGAAUAUAACAAAUGCAUCCGAACACAUGAAAAAAGGAUACAUCUGGUUUUCGAUCUUUCAGCAUUUCAUAUGGAGUCUUCUUGUGAAUCCUGUGAAUUAGAGAUCGAUUCUGAGUAAAACAUGCUGUAUUGACAGCUUCAGCCCAAAACGACAUAGGAAGACCAGCAUGGAUCAUCAAGGUCCUUCCUGCCUCAAUCAGUGUUCUAUUUCUUCGUUCAGCAACACCAUUUUGCUGAGGAGUACGAGGAGUUGAGAAGUUUUGUCCAAUUCCUUUAUGAUCACAAAAUUCUUCAAGAGUUGAGUUUCGGAACUCAGUGCCAUGAUCACUUCUUAGUUGCUUAACUUUAAGACCUGUCAGUGUCUCAUUUUUACGAAUCAGUGAGAUAAUUUCCUGUGCAGCAUGACUUUUCUUCUUCAAGAAAACUACCCAUGUAAAUCGAGUGAACUCAUCAACGACCACUAGAGUAUACUUAUUUCCACCUAGUGAACGAACAGGAAUAGGUCCAAACAGGUCCAUGUGGAGUAGAUGAAGAGGGACUGAUAUACUGGAACAUGACUUGGGUUUGAAAGAGGACUUGGUUUGUUUUCCUUGUUCACAAGCUGAACACAUCUUGUCUUUCACAACGCUGAAUUUUGGGAGCCCUCUAACUAGGUCUUGAUUGGAUAUCUUGGAUAGAUUCUUGAAGUUCAGAUGAGAAAACCUUUUGUGCCAAAUCCAGCUAAGAUUCGUCUGAGACUUUGUAAAGAAACAUUGCAUCAGUGCCUUGUCACUUGAGAACAUGUCAAGAACAUAUAUAUCAUCUUUUCUACUUGCUGAGAGUACGAUGUUCUUGUCAGUGUUUACAACUCUUCCUUCCUUCUUUGUAAAGUGAACUUCAUAGUCAGCAUCACACAAUUGACUGAUAGAAAUAAGGUUGUGUUUGAGACCCUUAACAUAUGAAACGUUUUGAAAAACCACGUUAUUGCAUUUGAUGUUUCCAUAUCCCUUAGUGAACCCCUUUCCAUUGUCUCCAUAAGUAACUGCAGGACCAGUUUUCUUAACAUAAUCUUCCAGGAGAGACUUUGAUCCUGUCAUAUGCCUUGAGCAACCACUGUCUAAGUACCAAAGAUGCUCCUGACCCUGCAGUGCUGAGAAACUAGUUAGAACACACUGACCCAUUCGAAGAUGGGUCAUUCACAAAGUUAUUUGAUAAUAAAUUAUAACACUCCUUAGGAAGACAGUUUAAAGAGUUUGACUUAAGAGUCCAUUUUUCAUUCCUAACUUUAAUAUUUUCAGCUCUUGAGGAUGAUUUAUCAAAAGAACAUUCACUGAUCUUGUGAGAGGAAUCACCACAUCUGUAACAAACUCUAGUUCCAAAGUUCUUCUUGGUGAGCAAAUUUUUUGAUUUAACACAUUUUGAUAUGUAAGAUUCACCAAUAGAGCUUUGAGUCCUUUUGUUUAUCACUGAGUCACGACUGAGUUCAGUGUCAGAAUGAAUUUGAUCAGUGUUAGAGGAUGAAAUAUCAGUAUCUGAUUUUGACUCAUUCACAGAUGGAUUGCAAUCAGGGAAGUGCUUGAGUUGUUCAUGAACAGCAUGAAACACUCCAUUAGAGAUAGGAAAAGCAAUAAUAUUCUCAGUUAGAGGGGUUGGUCUAACAAGAUGUGCAGGAUAAGAGGUAGGAUCAAUUCCGGUAAUUUCAACAUUACACUCAGUAAUACCAUCAGAAUUAAUAGUACAAUAUUCAUCAAUUAAACUUUGAUUAAUAAAAGAGUUACUGACAAACUUAUUUUUGAAAUUGUUUUUCAUCUCAUUCAUGGAAUAGACCUCAGAUUCCUUUUCUUGUGAUUUAAAAACUUUUUCAGCUUCUGCAAAAUUACCCCCAAGAAUUUUUUCACAAGAAUGUGGAAUUUGAGCUGAAAUAAUAUAAUUGGCAUUCUUAUGAGAUUUUGCCCAAGUGUGAAGCACAGUUUGUUCUUUGAUCAAAAGAUUUUUAACAUCGUCAAUUUCAGCAGACAAGGAUGAAUUUGACAAACUAGUAAUUCUAAGAUUUUCCUGAGUGGACUCAAUAAUGCUAUUUUUCAUGGAUAUAUCAGUUUCAAGAAGAUCAAUUUGAUUUUGCAAAUUUCUUAUGGUUUGAUUCUUCUUAGAAUUAAUGACACCCAAAUACUCAAACAUUUUGAUUUUUUCAUUCAUUGAAUAGGAAACAAAGUUUUUAACCUGGUACAUUGAAGAAGAGUCAAUGUUGUGCUUCCUGGAAUUUUCAGCAUCAGACAUAUCAGUGUCAAAAGUACUUUUGUCUUUAUCAGGAAUAUCCGGGUCCUCUAUUUUGACCAUGAGACACUUGACUUCAUCAUCUGAUGACUCUUCAUCAGUUUUCCAUUUUUCUUCUUCAGCUACAAGCACUUUAUGUUCCAAGUUUUCAGCUUUCAGCUUCUCAAUCAGCUUGUUGUACUUCUGCUUCCAGUAUUCAUCUGAGCCUUGUUUCUUUUGUUUACAAUCCUUUGCAAAAUGAUCAGUGCUCCCACAGUUAAAGCACUGAGCCUUCUCUUUCUUAUCAGCACCAUGCCUUUUAUCAGCUCCUGACCCUUUUGAGAAUUUUCCACCAAUCUUCUUUUGAAACUUUGAGAAGUUUCGACCUGAUUUUUCAAAGGUCUUCACAAUCAAGGCUGCACUAGCUACAACCUUUUCAAUAUCAUCAGUGUCAGUUUUAGAUGAAUCAGUGUCUGAAUCACUUUCAGUGUCUGAGUCUGCCACAAGCUUUUUGUUGGAGAACAAAGCUACAGAAGAUUCACGCUGAGAAUCCUUCAUCAGUUCCUUUCUUUGAAGCUUGGAUUCUUCAUAGUAUCGAAGAUUUCCAUAGAGACUUUGUAAGUCCAUAGAGUUGAUCUUCUCACUGUUUUUCAGCACAUCAACAUGAUUCUCCCAACCUGCACCUAGAGAAUCCAAAAACUUUUGCACUAGAACAGUUCUAUGCUUCAACUGAUCUAGUCUCCGAAGAUCGUUAACAAGAGUAUUGAAUCUGUUAAAAGUUUGAGUCAAGGUUUCACCUUUCUUAGCAAAAAAAUGUUCAUACCUUCGGUUAAGAUCAUUUAUUUGAGUAGCCUUGACUUCUUCAGUUCCUUCAAAAGAUACAGUCAGCGUAUCCAUCAUCUCUUUUGCUGAGAUGCAAUUUUGAACCAGCCCAAAGAUGUUGUAUGGCAAUGAGUAGCUAAUAGCGGCACGAGCACGAACAUCCAAACCAUGUUUUCUCUUGUCGUCUGCCGUCCAGUUUUCUUUUGGAGUUUUCUUCAUAGUGCCAUCAGGAACAUUGUUUUUAAGAGGCUGAUACAUCGGAACAUAAGGACCUUUUUCAACGAUGUCCAGCAUGUCUUCAUCAACAGAUUCCAAGGCAUAUAGAGCCUUUAUUUUCCACAUAGCAAAGUUAGUUUCAUCGAAAGGAGGGAUUUUAGCAGAAGGAUGAUUUGACGAGUUUGAUGAAGAAGAAGAUGAAGUCAUUUGUUUGAUAAAAGAAACCUGCUCUGAUACCAAUUAAAGAGGCCUUUAGAUCAAUCGAAAUAUCAAACAAUGACUACAAAUAAGAACAAGAGAAAUUCACGAAGAAAAACUUUCACUAAGAAAGAUAAUCUCACAAAGAGAUUAUCGUGUGCACAAAGCGACGAUUAGGGUUUGUGAAAGGCGUAACCAUUCACAAACCUGUACAAGAUAAUAUAUACUGCUAUUCUAGACAAUCCCUACAAUUCAGGGAUACGCUAGCUAUUAAAUCAAGAUAACUAAGGAAACAGGAUAAAUACAAGAUUUGUUACAACGCACUGAAUAAACUAAACUAUUACAAACUGAGCUGCUGAUAUGCUAGCGCUGAUGCUGAGAUACGUGCUGACAUUGAGUCUGUUUUAAACAUUAUCAUAUUUCAAGGCUUGACCUUUCAACACAAUUGACAGUUCUAGUCCCCUUUAUUUAAUUAAUAUCUUUUAGCCACAAAAUUAAUUCUUAUUAAUUCUUGACUAAUAUUAAUUAAACAAUAUGAUUUCUCCUUUAAUAUAUUAUUCUCAUAAUAUAUUAAUAAAUCAUAAUUAAUCAUCUCUCUCCAUAAUUCAUCCUAUCAAGUUGCUUUGGUGAAGGCAACCCAAAAGGACCAUGCACCAUCGGGUCAAGUACAUACCAAAAACAGUUAUGGACUUAGACACUAAUCCAAUAAUUCAUCACAGUCGACUUCGAGGACAAAGUCUAGUUCAAGUGGGGGAUAAUUUUAACAUCCUAAUGAUGAGGUACUUCUAAUUUUGACCCUAUAAUUGAAUUAUAUUGCAUUUUGGUCACUAAGUUCAAGAAAGAAUGAAAAAAUGGCCCAUAAUGGCAUUUUGGUAAAUUGGGACUUUGAGGAGUACAUUAUGCGUAUGUGUGUACGCUAAGCGUACUAUGGCGCGCCUUAGUACGCUUGGCAUACACCUCGUACAUAGGGCAUACGUGGAAAGCAUGAAAACCCUAAUGUUUAGGGUUUUGGCUCAUAUUUAAGCCUCCUUAAGGCCUCACAUUUCAGUCUUACCUAGCCUCCUUCUUUGACAUCGACCCUCAUGCAACCUUAAGAGCAAAAGAGAAAUUUUGGAGCCUUUAAGAGAGUUUAGAAGUGGUUUUGAAGAAAGAAGAAGGUGGUAAGAAGAUCUUGGAGUUAAGAGCACCUUGGAUCUGUGAUUUCUACCUUGUUUGCAACCUCUAGAAGGUAUAAAGCUUGAAACUUUACUACCCCAUCUUGUAUAUCUAGGUUUUUGCUCUUUUAAGUCACUUUUUGGUCCCAGCAUGGUGAUUCUUGAGCAUGGACUAUUCUUGACCCAUUAAGUCGUCCUUUCAGACCUUAGAAAUGGUCUUGAAUCAUAAAAACGGGGUCUUAAUGGUUGGUUUUGCUCCAUGCACUCUCUAGAAGGUCUUUAUGUAUUGAGACCUUGAAUUAGGCACUUAAUAGACAUGCAAGGUCAUACAGUUGGAAACUUUAUGACUCUUAAGGAUGAUUUAGCCUCAGAUCUGAAAAUGGGAUGUAAGAGCUUAUGAAAUUAAGCUCUUAAUGAGAGAUUGGGAAGAAUGGGUUCACGCCCUACGUAAUCUGAGUACGUAGUGUGUACAUGGUCAACCUCCCCGAUGGUGGUCAAAGCGUGAGUAGUUUGGCUAUGACUUUAACUAAGCUGGGUUGAGUCAGUUAACUUAUGGAUUUUGACUAGUUUGACUAUGACUUUAACUAAGUUUAACCAAGGGGUAUUUUGGGUAAUUUGAAUGGUAUUUGAGAAAUUGGUCUUUUGAAUGAAUAGGUGUCGGUUAGAGCUGAGAUUUGAGUCGGGACCUCAUUAGCUAUUGUUCAGACUAUGAGGUGAGUUUACUCAUUGUACUUACAGGUCGAAGGCACCAAGGCUGGCCCAUUGGAUUGAUAUCCCGCUAUAAAUUGAUAUGUUGAGUAUGGAAUAGAUCUGCAUGGCUAUAUGCUAGCUGCUAAUAUGCUACUUGUGAUUUUGUCUGCAUGAUUAUAUGUAUGUUGCUUAUGUUUAUUAUUUGUUAUAUGUCGAUAUAAUGUGGUGGGUUAAGAUUGUACUACUUUGUGUUGUAGCCAACAAACCUGGGAGCAAUCCAGAUAUGAAUUGAGGGUCGGUUGGCAUGCCAGACUCAUAUUGAGGACUCGGGAGCAUUCUAGAUACAAGUUGAGGGCCGGUUGGCAUGUCAGACUUGUACCGAGGUCUUAAGGGUAUUCCAUUCUGAUGACUGAGUGUACACACUAUAUAUUGGCAUUCCAACCUAGGGUAUUCCAUCCUGAGGAUGAUUGUCCCAGAGGUUGAUUGGGUCUAGGGUAUUCCAACCCGAGGGUUGAUUGGACCAGACAUGUUGUUGUAUAUGUUAUCUAUCUAUGUGUUAGUACUUUGGGGGAACUCACUAAGCUUUCGCUUACGGUUUUUAGUUAUUGUUUCAGGUACUUCUGAUGAACGCGGGAAGCCGAAUGCGUGACCGUACACAUCCUCUAUUUUGUGUACUUUUGAUCUAUGGGAUACUCUGAUAUGGA